UCUCAAUUAAGAAGAGGCAUCCAGGCUCACAAAAUCAAUCUGAAAACACAUGCACUGAUGCACACUUGUGUUUGUGUAGAGGCGCUUAUAUAUCAUCCAAAAGACAAGUCACUCACACGCAAAUUCGCAUUGGCUAACAGAAGCUAUUUGGAAUGCAGUUCAGUCGACUAACAACGUAGGUACCCCCGUCUCCUUGUUUUGCCGAUGUUGGCGAUGCCAUCAUAUGUCAGCAGCAAGGAAGUUGCCAGACAAGGAAACCUGCCAAUCGGAGAAGCAGCAGCAGUGAACGUUCAAGAUCCAGAGUACAAUCGACAGACAUAUUUUGAUCUCCUCGAGAAUUCUAUCAGGGGAGGAGACGAGUAGAACUGUUUUACCUUCUCGCCAGGCUUGAAUGGUGGAAGACCUCUGUAGGGACAGGUUCCACAGCGGAAGGCAUCACCCAACCCACACUGCAAAGAAAAAUCAAGGAUCAUUUACAGAUAUCACCAGACGUGAUAGGUAACCUAGUCCGAGUGAACGUAUGAAAUUUCACGAGGGGGCACAAGUGCCACCUGUAAGCAAUACUUACACUGCCACAAGCUGACUGAGGGUUAUUGAUCUGCUCCGCAGUGAGCUCCAGCUUCCCAACCUUCUCCUCGGCCUCAGCCCUGCCACAAGUACAGUUCUUGCAUGCUUUCUUUGCUGCCCCCACCUCACAGUCCCCAACUGGUGAAAACAUCAGUGAAAACAUCACUUAACUGUUUAGGAUCCAAACCUAAACUGGCUAUUGCUUACGGAGUUGAACUAAGUUGACGGGUUUUGUUGCUCUACCAACUGGAAGUUGUGGUUUCUUCAGGUCCUCCUCAGUCAAGAGACUGUCUUCAUCAAUCAGAUCAGAGUCGUCGUCAAUUUGAAUCUUGGGAAGGGCUUUUGUUGUUUUCUUAAGGGGAAAAGAAGAGCCCAUGCUCCAGCUAGCCUUCUUUGCCUUAACCUACAAGUGGUUCAAAUUAGCACAAAAACUAAAGCCUGCACAGCAAAACUAACAUACUAUAACACAUGAUCUUAGACCACUCACUGUAACAGAUUGCACGCUAUCCUGCGAGCUUGCAGCAGAAGAUUGCACUUCAGCAAAUCCACCCAUCAGUAACUUGCGCUCAAUAUCAGUGUUCGGCUAACGGAGACAAUCAUAAAAAAAUUAAGAACUUUAAAUCGACAUUGCAAGAGAAACGAGACAACAAAGACAGAUUCUGAUAAGUUAAUACCUUCUGACUGGAUGAGGGUGCAGGGCUCUGCACCAAUACUCUUCCACCAGCUUUCAGCACCCGCCUGAUUUCAGCAACCAAUUGCUCCCUCAAGCUUUCCACGUUUUUAAUGACUGCAAGAACCGCACCAACUGAUGCAUCUUCAAAAGGCAACUUCCCACCUGAUGCAUGGCAGAACAAUAGUUUGGUCACGGUUUUGUGAUAACACACACACACACACACACACACACACACACACACACACACACACACACACGGCAUAGCACUAGCAAAGCAUAACACAAAUUAAAAAUCGAACAUUAUUGUUUAAUAGAGGCUCCCAAAAUCAGGAAUGCUAGCACUUGGCUUAUUCAUAAACACACACAUCCAUAAUCAGGAAGCAUACAUUACUGAACCAUUAAAUUUAAUAAUAAAAAUUCAGAUGUUGAAUCCAUGGCUGAAAUUUUCUGUUCCUUUUGAAAGUAUAAUCCUAACUUUCAUCUCCGGCUGACCUGGUAAUAUCUUCUAGCUCCUUUUACCUUAUAUUUUUUUCAGUUGCUUGAGAAAUAGCGGUAGGAAAAUUGACACAUGUCAUUCGUAAAUCCAUGGGACUUAGAGCAACUCCAAGAGCUUCCUAAGAAAUUGUUCCCCAAAACAUCAUAUAGGGGGCUGCUGAAAAAAAUCCACUAAGAGCAACUCCAAAUGAGUGCUAGAAAAUUUCCCCAAAAAAUGAUUAUUGGGGAUAUGUUAAAAAAUUUUAGGGGUGAAUUAUCAUGUAUACUCCAACGAUUCCGUUAAACAAAUGCGACUCAAUCUCAGCCACAGUCUGAGUCUUACAGACACACACAAAACCUAACAUGCCGGUGGCAGCCACAUUAUCACACACCGGAACAAAUAACUUUGAGGCAAAAACACAUUAUGCAAGCAGAGAAACACCAGAACAGACUCCCAGCUGUUGAAGUGCAAAUGUGUUUUCUAUAUUUGAGUUACUUGCUGGUAAAUCCCGAUCGGGAAUGUAAUAAUCGGGGAGUUGCAUUAGCACUUUUGCAGCAAGCUAAGCCAACUGGUUGGGAAUGUCAAGCAUUCUUGAGCAGGAGUACUAGUCAAGUUAACAGGCUUCAGAUCCCAUCCAAUCAUUGUCACAUUUGAAUAUAACUUGAGCGGGUAGAAAAAAUAUCAUAACAAAGGCAUCAUGGACUGAAUCCUAAACAUCAUAACGAAGGCAUCAUGGACUGAAUAGCGAUCAUCAUAACAACGGCAGGAAACAGACUCCCAACUGAAUCAUGGUUAACAUGGACUGAAUUGUGGUGGCACUGCAUGCAGUGCGAGAUGCAUCAUAUCCAGGUCAAUUCAGGUUAGCAAAUGCAAGGCCACAGGAGUUGCCGCCAGGGAGGAGGCUCUAGGCGAGGUCACGGGAGUUGCGGUGGAAGUUGCUGCGGAUUGGGGAAGACCUUUGCUCGCCAAUAUUUGAGGGAGAGUGGAGCUCGGAUGCGGGACGCUGAUAAUUUGGGGGAAGGAAAGGGGAACUAUUGGGUGGAGAAUUUUUUGUUUUUCACCCCAAAACAUGUUUUUGGGUUGGUUUUAGCGUUCUUCUGGAGAUGCUCUUAAGCAACUAGCACAUGAGACAUGGCAUAGAUAUCAAGAACUGCAAGGAGAGGUUCAAGUUCAAAUCUGAAGAAGUCUGCAAGGGCAUGUCCACAGAUUCAGCGGUUUUGGAGUUGGGAAAUAACUUCAGCUUUCUUUUCUUUUUGUUGUUGAGACGUUCUUUUCUUUUUCUUUUUUUUUUGUUGUUGUUGAGGCGUCAGCUCGACGUUUUCAUUCUACACAUUAGAAAGUGGCAGUAGCGCAAGAGAUACCACAGGGCCAAAACUACUAGUGGUACUGAAAGUUUUCAUUCGAAGAAUCAGUAAGUGGCACUAUCACAGGAAGAAACAUUGCAAGGCCAAACUUGGCGUCCACUGACUGCGCUUCAAUAUUACUUGAGCAACUUGCUAGCCUCCCGAUCCCGGAAGGAUGGUUUGAUAAACUAAUUCUCUAAUUGAAGUGGGAACCCUUAAGAACCAAACGUCCACUACUCCAAAUUUGAUUGCAAAAGAAAAAAGAAUCUAGCCCAUUCCGCGGAAUCACGCCAGAAGGCUCGCUAAUUGAAGCAUGCAAGCAAGGCAGCAAAGAGAACAGCACGCAUCGACGGGUUCCUGCAUCCACAAGCACGAACUUGGCAACUUGCCAUGGUCGCCUCGAGGGAAAGAAAUAGAAGAAAAAAUGGAAAGAGGGCAAGACGGGGGCGAAACCAGCUAAGCUCACCGAGCGCCGCGCACUGGGUGAUGACGGCGACCUCCUCCCGCGAGACCUCGGCGGCGGCCGCUAGAUCCCCCACCGCCCGGAUCGGCAGGGCCACCUCGUCCGUCACCGCGAGCGCCGCCGACAUGGAGUCAAAUCUGCACACGAGCACACGCCGAGAACCAGAAGAGACUCGGUGAAAGGAGUAUCCCCGAAGAGAAAAGGAAUUAGGGUUAAUCGAGGGAGGGUUUUAUCUGCACGCCCCCGGAUUCAUCACGCGACUGCUACCUGAGACGAUAAGACGACGACGAAGGCGAAAUUUGAUUUGGGUUUUGCCUGGCCUCCUCUCCUCUCGAAGCUUCACAACACGCCGAGUUAUUUGAUAUUGUAACAAUCUCGUCGCGCGGCUUCACCAGUUAUUACUCCGUAGUUAUACUUCGCUAGUUUAGUAUUAUGGAGCUCAAAGCCACGCCAGAUUGGGACUGUUAAUCUUCCGUCGUCCUCUGUAACCUUCUAUAAGCUACGGUAAAAAUCAAUUUUGUCCACGACGAUGUUGUAAUCUAUCUCUACAUUCUGGAGAUGGCGGACAGGGGACGACGGAAGCGAGAAAGAAGACAGCGACGGAAGCGAGGAAGAAGCCACUUGUGUAGGAUACCUCGGGGCGGCCGUUCUCGGCGCAUCGGAAGCCGAUGUCGAGGAACCCCAUCGCCGCCGCCAGCCCAGACCCAGUCCCCGUCGAACAGGUCGCACUCCUCCUCGUCGCCACUCCCCGCCGCCGCGAUGGAGACCCCACCGGCCCAGAGCAGCAGCAGCGCGGCGGCCACCACGGCCAGCACCGCCAUCUCGGCCUUCUCCCGCCGCCCCUUGGAAGCCCGCCGCAGCAGGCGCUUCACCGGCGAGCCCGACAGCAUUGCCGCCGCCUGCCUGGUGCCUCAGCGCGCGGGGCUGGCCGCGCGUAUCUCCCAGCCGAGCUCCUGCUUCCAGUCGUGGUCCUCAGUGCGCGGGGCUCCCUCCUCGGCCUCUGCUCCUCCGGCGCCCGGUUCCCAUCGCCGCUCUCUUCCCCAGCGCGUCUUCUUCCCCAGUCGCGCCCUGCCCUCUGUUCUGCUCGCCGCGCCCUGAACCUUGCUCCAGCUCGCCGGCUGGAUCUCCCUGGUGCCGCGCCCCUGCUCAUCUUCCUCGCGCGCGCUCCUCCCCAUGGCCGGCAGCAGGCAGGCAGGUCCUAGCAGACUGCGAGACGGCGGUUGCAGCGGUUCUCCUGCUCGUCACGGUUGCAGCGGGAACCGCGGCCGGCCCUGCUCAUCUUCCUCGUCACGGUUGCAGCGGCUGCGAGACGGCGGCACGCGCUCUGUUUUCUUGGUCUCUCGCGCGGCAAGGGAGUACUCCGGCCAGGGGUAGAUUAGUACGAAGGGAUACACAACCUGCAUCAAGAGCAACAAAACAGACGUUAAUAGAGUGCGGGAGAUUAACGGUCCCAAUCUGGCGUGACUUUGAGCUCCAUAAUACCAAACUGGCGAAGUACAGCUGCGGAGUAAUAAACUGGUGAAGCCGCGCGACGAGAAUGUUACAAACUCAAAUAACUCCAAGACGCCAGUAGGUGUUGGCGUUCGGUUCUUCGAUUCCGCAGAAAUUCGGUUAUUUAAAAACUAAAAUUGAAAUAGCAAAAUAAAGAAACUAGAUUCGACUAGUUCGAUUCUUGGUUCUUCGGUUUGGUUUUUCGGUUCUAACCGAACUGUACAAUCACUCUAAAAUUCUAAAAUGUCAACUUUUGUAAGAAAUUUCAGUAGCAUCUCUCCACAAACAACCACAAGUGUACAAUGCCUAGAAUUUUAUAAAUAAUACAUGGAUGAUUAGAGAUUCAACCAUAUAUGCAUCACAUCUGAAAUGAGAGAAAUGAAAGCAAUAAAUAAUUUAUUCGUCAACACAAACAAUAAAUAAAAGAGAUGGUAUAUUGAAUCUGGUACUUUUGGUUAUUUCGGUUAUUUGGAGUGCAGAACUGAAAAUAUCUAAUUUAUUUCGGUUCUCAAAAAACCAGAACCGAAUUCAUAAUGGUUCAUUCGGUUUGGUUAGUUCAAUUUCAGUUCUCGGUUAUUUCGAUUCGGCUCCUCGGCUCCGGUUCUUUUUGCUCGGGCCUAGACGCCAGGUCCGGCAGGUGGGAAGUUGCAAAAGGGGAUCACGAUCGCCAGGGGAGGCACGCUGUGAUUUGGCCGCGGGGGGUUUCCGGGGCACCCACGACCGGAGGGAGGCAAUGAGGCCGCGGAUAAGCGGAGAGCCCACACAGUGGGAGUGACAAAAUAGCAAUUUUUCGGCAGAGGGCGGGUUGCUUUUCGCUUGGGCCGUGAUAUUUGGGAGGGCCAGCCGGCCUCGGGUUCGUGGACGUGGAGGAAGCCAGGUGCUAGGCUCGGCAGUGGCGGGCAGACUAGAGGCACGCGCCUGCCCGUGAGACAAGCGGACAAAUCAACACUACGGGGCUGUUUGGUUUGCUGCAUAACUUGCCACAGUUUGCCACGCAUAAGGUUAGACAAUUUUGACCAAGUUAGACAUGUUUCUUGUAUGUCCCACUUGUCAGUGACCGGUGAAAGUGUGGCAAGAUUCUCUUAGACGUGGCAAACUGUGGCACAAAAUUUGAGCGCCUAACGCUAAGCACCUUAGGCAAGUGUGGCAUAAAAUUGUGUGGCAAAUUUUGACACCAUAAGUAUAGAACCAAACAACCCCUACAUGCACAUGCGCUUGUUUCUCUUGGGUUUUGGCCGGAUUCUCCCUCUGAACCUCAUGCUAGACCCUCGAGGCUGUGCACUAUGUACCCAGCUACUAUACCUACCUAGCACCUCACUCCGACCGCGAAGCUACUGCAUCUUGCAAAAAAAUAGUGCACAUGAAGCACUCGAACUUACGCCCCCUGCUCUAGAAAUUUAGAGUUAACCAUCAAACCACACAUACUAUAGUGUUUAGAAAUAAACAACAAUUAUAUUUGAAUAAAUAUCUUAAUAUUUAUUUAUAUGGUAUAUAACCACCGUAGUAAAGCAUGAUCAACUGGCUAGCAUUAAUGAAUUAAAUUGAAUUAAACCUCGUUUGACUAGCCGACUAUGUGUUGGUCCAUUAGUGCAAUACUCCUUCUAUUUUAAAAUAUAAUUUUUAGCCCCUUUUUCAAUUGAAGUGAAUGAUAAUAAAUAUAGACAUACCUACAAAACUAUAUUCAUGUUCCAUAAAAAUACAUUUAUAGGUUAAUUAAUAAAUGUAUCUUUAGUUUAAAACGAAUUAGAUUUUGUGACGGAUGUAGAAUGUCUUAAGUUGUAUAGUCGGUUGUGCCUAAGAUAGUAAAUAUAAAAAACUUAUAUUUUUAUGAAGAAACGACCAUAUGCUUGAGAUAGAAGACAACUAAUUGAUACAUUGAAUUUAUUGAAUACUCUAGUUAGUACAAUGAAUAUAGUAAGACAAUGUUUUAGAAUUAUCCAUUGUAUUACCUCUAUUGUGUUACAUUGUGUGCUGUAAGAGGUUUAGGAUUGGGCAUGUCCUCAUGGUAAUAAUUUCAACAUACAUCUUUUCUCUCUUUUUUCCUUAAGAUCAUCUAGGGAUUGAAAAAAAUGAAUUUGUGCUUAGAAGACUGUGAUGCAAAGAACUAGACUAACAUAUCUGUGUAGGAUCCAUCUACAUUUUUUUCUCUCUCUUUGUAUUUUCUCUCAAUCCUUUAGCGCAUAUGGGCUCGUGGUAGACAUCUCUAUCUCUACUUUUAUAACGUAUUUCUUCGUUUAGUGACAGAUUCAGAAUCGGAUGGGAUUACUAACCUAGCAAACAGGGACUACUAUAAAAUAUAUCAUCAAACCAAAAUAAAAAAAUGAGAAUAUGAAAUAACCUUACGGCCUUACCUAGCUGUUGGACACCAAAUGUGUCUCGCGGACGGUCCGGCCCUGAGGCCGGACGGUCCGCGGUCCGGACUGUCCGCGGUGGUGGCGCGGACGGUCCGCGCGUGCGCAGAAUCAGUUAGGGUUCCUAGUUUCUCGCGGGAUUGGUUACCUAAAACCACGGGAUUAACUCGGAAAUCAGUUGGAAGCGGAUCCAGACCUCCCCCUUUAUAUAGAUGAAGGGCUACGGCCGAUUGAACUCCCAUCAAUCGAACAAAUCAAGUCUAUUUCUCGUUUUUACCUUACGCAUUAGGAAUAGUUCUAGUCUAGUUCUAGUUUAGCCUCUCAAUCUCCAAAUUCUCCGGAUCUCUUCGACUCUACGUCGAUUAGAGGAGUCUAGGUCGGCCUGCCGAGCCUAGACAACACCUGGGAUCUCUCCUCCCCGACGGGGUCCCUCCCGGGAGCGAGAUCCAGGCGCCGCCGGCGACCUUCGCCACCCCCUGCGCACGCGCGGACCGUCCGGACUGUAGGCGCGGACCGUCCGACCGUCAGGCAGGGAACCUUUGCCCCUGCUCCAGGUCGCGGACCGUCCGGUCCCUGGUCGCAGACCGUCCGCGCCUGUGCAGAGAGCACCGCCGCCGGUUCUUGUUGAGUGUUUGGCACCCGAAAAAGGUGUCAACAUACUUUUGGCGACUCCGCUGGGGACGGUGUUUAGAUCUACUAAAAAUCAGGCCCUCAAAUGGCCGGUUCUAAAGAUCACACCGAUAUCUCCCCGGACAAUAUUCUGAAGCCGGCUGUUGAAAGUCUGACGGCCGAUGAGCAACAACAAUACGAGGACUACAUGUGUCAAGCGAGGGAGAAAUUCUUAUCACAAUACACGGUGGAUCGCCACCAGAAAGUUGUCAAACAUGGAGAGACCGACGUCGCAUCUCUUCUAUCUUCGCUUCAAGUCCCCGACGUAAGUAAACCCGACGACAUCCAAUUUAUUAAACAGUAUGUAGAUCAGCAGCAGGAUCAAAUGAAACAACAGAUUGUAGGGUUAGAAGAGUCAAUUAGAAAAUUAACGCGUACGUUGGAGAAGUCUGUUGCUCCUAGUUUUCCAUCAUAUGAGACUAGUAACAGGAUAUCUAUGUCUAAUACAUCGGCAACAAAUGGGAAUUUGCAGCCCCAGCCAUUAUAUGGUAUGCCGAUGAACUCAUAUACAAGACAAGUACCACCACCGCCAUCCCUGCUUGGUAGAUCGGCACCCAUGAACACGGUCGGACCGUCCGAGCUUCUGCCCGGACCGUCCGGCACAUAUGCAGACCGUCCGGCUUGCUCUGCCGGACAGUCUGGGGCCGCCCUAGGACCACCGCCGUCCCUGCUUGGCAGACCGGUGACCCUGGACGCGGUCGGACCGUCCGAGCUUCUGCCCGGACCGUCCGGCCCUUACGCGGACCGUCCGGCUUUCCCUGCUGGACAGUCCGGGCCCGCACCAGGACUACCACAUGGCGUCCCGAUAAUGGCGAACGCAACCGGUCAGUUCGGAUUUACCACCGGGCAAGCUGGAUAUGCAUACGCAGAACCUGUUGUUGCACACCAUGCACCAAAUUAUUACACACCACAGCAGCAGUAUGUUUCGCCCUCUACAUAUUUAAACCAUAACGUACCAUACAACCACAGACCGAUCAACACUAUCGAUCGGUCACGGCAAGAAGGUCGGUAUACUAAUACCCGACCAAAUGAGCCCCACAGCCCAGGAUCCGGUGGUCUGCCACCUGAUGCAAUGGAAAAAAUUAGGGAAGAGAUGACUGAACUAUUUCGAAUAAGUUCGGAGUUAGUGUAGCCAGAGUAGGGCAAUCAUACCAAAAGCCGUAUAAUCACCGGUUUGACACUGUCCCAUAUCCACAAGGGGCAAGGAUACCAGAAUUUUCCAAAUUUUCUGGUGAGAAUGGGAGGAGCACACACGAACACAUAGGCCAGUUCCUAGCACACCUAGGUGAAUUGGCCGAUGGAGAAGCAUUUCGUGUUCGGUUAUUUUCUCUAUCCCUUACUGGUACCGCUUUUGCAUGGUACGCCGCCCUGCCUCCUAAUUCCAUUAAUUCCUGGAAUGAGUUAGAAAGUAAAUUUCAUGAACAUUUCUUUGCCGGGGAAUAUGAAUUAGGACUAGCUGACUUAGCUUCAGUUCGACAAGGACGCGAAGAAUCGGUUAAUGAUUAUAUCCGGAGGUUCCGGGACACUAGAAACCGAUGCUUUCGGAUCCAUGUCGCAGACAAAGAGCUAGCAGGGUUAGCUUUUAAUGGGUUGCUAUCCUACUUAAGAGACAAAUUAGAUGGGACCCAGUUCUUUUCGAUAGCCCAGCUACAUCAGCGGGCUUUAGCCUGUGAAAGCCGAUUUAAAGAGACAUCAAAAUCGGCCGCCCGUACUAUACAUCUAAUAGAGCGUGAUAGUUCAGAUGAUGAAUCCGCAGAUGUAUAUAUCGCUGAGUUUAUUUGGCCAACAAAGGCCAAAUCUUCAGCAUGUUCUUCCUUACAGUCGGUUCAAAAGAAUCGGCAAGAAGAUAUUAAAUUUACCUUUAAUGUUGCCAAAUGCGAUAAGAUAUUUGAUGAGCUACUUAAAAAUGGCAACAUUAAAUUAACUCAUACUAUCCCUCCUAUAGAUGAAUUAAAGAGACGUGCUUAUUGUAAGUGGCAUAAUUCUUUUUCUCAUGCCACCAAUGACUGUAAUGUUUUUCGUCGACAGGUACAAUCGGCCAUAAAUGAGGGCUGAUUGGCUUUUCAGGAAAUGCAAGUGGACACACAACCAUUUCCUGUUAAUACAAUAGAUAUCGCAUGCAAAAAGAUCUUAGUUCGGCCCGAAAUGGCCGAUAAAGGCAAAAGCAAAGACAUCAUCAUUGGUAGUCCUCGCACGUCGAAUAUAUCACAAAAGGAGAUUGUUCGAAAGGCUCCGGAUGAUAAGGCUAAAAAGUCCGGAGGCACCGGGGGGCAGGCACAAUUAAUGAGUCAAGCACGACAACCUGUCCUGAGCAUCACGGACGAUCUGGCACCUACGUGCGGACGGUCCGGUGUUCAGAUAGACGGUUCGGCUAACUCUGCCGGACAGUCCGCCUAUGCCCAAAGGUGUCAGCCUCCACACAAAACCUUAAAAGGGAAGGAGACACAACGGCAAAGCACAAAUGGUCGGUUGAUCAAAGCUGACUCUACUGUUGAUCAGUUGCUCUCCAAGAAUACUAGCGAGAAGACCGUUCUACGUGAUCGGUCAACGAAGAAACCUCGGUCACCUACUAAAACGAAACGGGUAAACAAAACGGCCCGAAAGGCGACACAACAAGCAUCGCCUAUUCAUCCUAUGAGACCAGGGUACUUUCCACCCGUUUACUCAUCGUCAGUAUAUUAUCCUGUUCAAACAUGGAAUGGUACGAUGAUGAAUCCAUGGUGCAUGUAUAGUCCCUUUGUCUAUCCAUACUGGGGGGCACCUCCAUUCUAUUCCUUUUGAUUCAGUGAUCAAACGGUCAUGGCCGAGAAAGAUAAAAUCUGAAACGGCUGUUAUACAUUGAUGCUUUAUUAAAUGAUCUCAAUAUUAAAAAGCCGGUGACUUACAUCAGGUUUAGUUCAUAUGCUUUUGGUUCGUCAACCUUCACCAAAAGGCAGGGGGGCAUAUGUUGGACACCAAAUGUGUCUCGCGGACGGUCCGGCCCUGAGGCCGGACGGUCCGCGGUCCGGACUGUCCGCGGUGGUGGCGCGGACGGUCCGCGCGUGCGCAGAAUCAGUUAGGGUUCCUAGUUUCUCGCGGGAUUGGUUACCUAAAACCACGGGAUUAACUCGGAAAUCAGUUGGAAACGGAUCCAGACCUCCCCCUUUAUAUAGAUGAAGGGCUACGGCCGAUUGAACCCCCAUCAAUCGAACAAAUCAAGUCUAUUUCUCGUUUUUACCUUACGCAUUAGGAAUAGUUCUAGUCUAGUUCUAGUUUAGCCUCUCAAUCUCCAAAUUCUCCGCCUCUCUUCGACUCUACGUCGAUUAGAGGAGUCUAGGUCGGCCUGCCGAGCCUAGACAACACCUGGGAUCUCUCCUCCCCGACGGGGUCCCUCCCGGGAGCAAGAUCCAGGCGCCGUCGGCGACCUUCGCCACCCCCUGCGCACGCGCGGACCGUCCGGCCUGUAGGCGCGGACCGUCCGGCCUGUAGGCGCGGACCGUCCGGUCGUCAGGCAGGGAACCUUUGCCCCUGCUCCAGGUCGCGGAUCGUCCGGUCCCUGGUCGCGGACCGUCCGCGCCUGUGCAGAGAGCACCUCCCCCGGUUCUUGUUGAGUGUUUGGCACCCGAAAAAGGUGUCAACACUAGCACUAGGAGCCACAGUCUGUCAUUAUUGCACACUUAGCACAUUAGCACUAGGCCACUAGCACACUGCUCACGGUUCAGCUUCAAUAGUUUCUUAUAUAUAUUAAAGCCGGACAGAAACGUGAACGAUGAGACCAUCCACGUCGUCAAAAAAAUCGGGCCGUCCGAUCGCCAAUCAAAGGUUGAUGUCUCCUCUUGCUCUCUCGCUCGCUCCGCCUUUUCCUCUCGCUCCCUCUGCCUCUGGAUACUUCCGAUGCCUCUCCUCGCUCCCUCGGUCGCUGCUGAUGCGCCACGCCGCCGCCGGCGCCUCAUCGGCAGGAAUCAUAUGGACAGCCCAGAGGUGGUGGCCUCCGCGUCCCCGGCUGCAGCGGCGAGCGAGCGCCAGGAGAGGCCCGCGAGGCUGCGGCGGAAGAUCUCGUCCGCGUUCUGCGCCUGCAUGGGCCAUCCCCUGGCGUCGCACACGCAGCAGUAGGAAUGCUACGGUGCGUACUCAAAUCUACCAGCUGCGUGCGGUCCGUCGUGGGGUAUGGCUGACGAGCGGCCUGGGGUUCUCGCUCUCUUUCUUGCUAUGCAACAAACAUUUGUGAUUUGUGCUUACACGUGAGACCGUGCUUGCUGUAAGAUUUUUCUCCCCUCUUUUCUGUGGAGGUCAUAGGAAUCCCUCCACAUCGCCCUCUCCCCGUUGUCCCUCUCCCGUCAUUUCAUCUUCUCUUCCAGUCGUUUCAUCUUUCCCGGCAGCUUUGGCUUCAGUCAUCGGCUUCGCAAGUUCGCAUCGACAUGGGGUUCUAAUUGGACAACCUAAGGCUUACAACGAGUCGUGGUCUAACCACCCAAACUGACUGCUCAGUGACAGAAAUCAGACAGGUUGGUAUCUAAUGUUUAAAUAUAAUGGCAAAAAUUCUAGCACCUUGAAAAAGACAAACUCAGCACGCCCCAUUGUGCAGCUGAUCAUUUUUUAGCUUAUGGAAAAUUCAUAAUAUUAAACGCUGGAGCAGAGCUUGCCUCACGUGCUAGGGUCUUAGAGCAUCUCCAAGAGCAAGCAAUGUAUUCAAUAUUGAUUAAUUUUUUCAAUAUUUCAAAUGUUUAUCGAUAUUAUUGAGCUGUAAAUUUAUGAAUUCAUAAACGAGAUUUUCUGUCUGCUAAAUGGUUGCUUGCCAAAGAUUUGUGAUUAGAAGCAAACAAACUUAAUCUUCAAUAGCAAUUCUGUUCCACACAUGGCCCUGAUCCAUGUCUCGGUUUUACUUUCAACCGGAGGAUUUGGAAUUCUGGAACCAAGGAAUCAGAUACAGAGAAAUAGAAUAACAUAUAGAAUAGAGUAGUUUAGGGCAGAUUUAGAGUUUGUUAUUUUAGCCCAAUGGUGGAUGUUGUCUCUUCUAAACAUUCGCACUACUACUUUCUAUAUAUUAAGAGUGGGAGCCAAUCUGGAAUGCUAGACCAUCCGCAUCAUUUUUACGCCGUUAGAUCAUCCAUUAACUAUCUGAUUGUAUCAGUCACAUAUGAGUUUAACUGUAUGAUUGCCUUUUAAUAUCGUAGGAUUAUUGUGUUCAUUGGAUUUGACUGUCUGAUUGUGUCAGUCAAAUUUGAGUUCAUUUUGUUUGCGAGCUAGAAUGAAAAACAAAAUUUUGAGUGGCUCAAACAGGACUUACACUGGUUGCCUGCAUAUAUAUCGUGGGAUUCUCACGUCGUUGUUUCAUAUUUCAUUCGCACGAAUGGUUCUCGAUGGCCAGGACACAACCUCUGAAUUUUAGGCCACAACCAACUGCGGUCGAAGGAGCAAGUAUUUUUUACAUACUUUUGCCCGACUCCAACCUUGCUGGAUGCCGCAGUGCGCGGCUCAGUCGGUGCUCACUAUUGAUAUGAAAACAACCACUGUGACAUGUUUUGGGACACCAUCCAUAUUGCAAAUAAUAAAACAUACUUAUCUUCAAACAUUUAGUAACUAUGUUAAAUAGAAAACGGUCACCAUGCAUUCACCGAUCACCGGAAGGUGCUGCUUCUUAGGCAAAGAUACAUAUUUUAAUGUACGUUCAGUUUCAGGUAACAAAGAAAAUUAAUUUCUCUUGCAUGAUGAGACAACAAUAUAGAUGCAUCCCUUUUGAAUACAUAUUUAUGUUCUAUCUAUCUUCUUAAUUGUAGGUGUACUUGGUAAUUAAUUGCAUUGUAUAAUAAAUUGUAACUGAUUCAUAUCUCUAACUUCGAAUUGCAAACUUUUGAACGAAUAAUACUCAGUUCUGUGUUUUAUCAUGAAACCAGCGAGGAACAGAGAAUAAAAGCAAAAAAAAGGAUUGUCGUUAUUUGUAUAGAAUUGCAUUGUUUUGUUAGUACUGAUAUAAUAUCUAUAAUGUGCUUUCCCUAUUAGUACCAUAUUUACAUUGAAAUGAUAAUAUUUAUUAGGAUGUCUUUUAAUCAACAUAUAUCUUAUUCCUAGAUUCUUAGGCUCUUUUGCCCAUUCUAUUGUGUGCUUUCCCUAUUCAUAUCAUGUUUACAUUGAAAUGAUAAUAUUUAUUUUGAUGUCAUUUACACAGCAAAAUAUUUCAUUCCUAGCUUUCUAACAUUUCUUGGUGCAGCCUUGGAACUAGACAUAGGAGAAAAUCAAAAUUAUGUUUCUUUCUUUUUUGCAUAUGGUCCAAUAAUGACAAACAAUUCAUAUUAUAAAGCCACCAUAAUUGAUUCUAUACUUAUCAGUUAACUGUUUUUCCUCCUUGAUUUACUAAACUUGCUUCAUCUCAACCUUUCAUAUAUGCUUCCGGUUAUAUUCGUCAUAUGUUACAUAGAAAGGUAAUAUGUUUUCUUCUGUUCAUAAAUUUUGAAGUUGUGCAAUGCUUCAAUAGUUCAAAUAAUAACCAUUUUAGUUAAAUUUCUUACAGGUAUUAUAGAUGAACGGAAUGGAUAACCCGUAUACCCUUCUUUAAAAAUCAUUAAUUCGUACGUUAUAGAUACAAAACAUGUUGUUUUAACAAGUAACACCUCAUGUCCGUCAUGCGGGUACCUCCAUAUUUGUCACAUCUUUAUGUGUACCAAUAUGAUUAUAGAUCAUAUAUGUCCUACAAAAAUGACGUGCCUCAAGCUGAAGCAACACCUAGCAAAAUUGCCUUUAAAGUUCCUCUCCGUCUUUAUGCAGAAAGAACAUUUUAUAUCAUUUUACAUGUAAAUAUCUACUGAAUCAACUUCUAUCACUCAUCUAAGCAAUUAUUAUGAUUAUUGAUAAAUACAAUUAAAUUUAACUUAAUUACAAUUAAAAACGCGCGCUGGCGCGCGCCAGUUACUAGUAGCCGUAAGAGGAGCAGCAAAAACAAAUGCGCUAUGUGCCCGAGGCUGAGGCCUGACUACGUGAGGGAGUAAGGGCGGUGACUGGCGGGUACAUGCGUUAUGCCAAGCGAGUGAGCGGAAGCGCUGAGACAGUGAGACGCCUGAUGGCGGUGGGCUGAGUAAAAAUGAGCGAUUUGCCACUAUUUGAGGGUGGGUGGUAAAAAUUUCCCAUGUCAGUGAUUCGCCAGUGACACAUGAUUAAAAAGAUUAUUGUUCGAACCAGAAUUGAGCCGGCGGACUGUCCACGGUCCGCGGUCCGGACGGUCCGCGCCUGUGGGCCGGACGGUCCGCGCGUGCGCAGAACAGAUUAGGGUUCCGAGUUUUGUGCUACGGUUGUUAGCUAUAUUCGCGGGAUUAGCUCGGAAUCAGUUGUGUAAAGGGUCCAGCCCCCCUCCUCUAUAAAUAGAGAGGUCUACGGUCGAUUUGUAAUCAUCAACAAUCGAAUCAAUACAACUUUUAUUCGCAUUUUAUCCUAGGAGUAGUUCUAGUCUAGUUUAGGUUUAGCCACUCGAUCCCCAAAUUCUCCGCCUCUCCUCGACUCUACGUCGAUUAGAGGAGUCUAGGUCGGCCUGCCCGAGCCUAGACACCACCUAGGAUCUCUACUCCCCGACGGGGUCCCUCCCGGGAGCGAGAUCCAGGCGCCGUCGGCGAUCUUCCGCCGUCCCUGCGUACGUGCGGACCGUCCGGCCCCAGGGCGUGGACCGUCCGGCCGUCAGGCAGAAGUCCCAGUAGCGCACCAGGCCGCGGACCGUCCGACCCCUGCGCGCGGACCGUCCGCCCCUGUGCAGAGGGCACCGCCACGGUUCUUGUUGAGUGUUUGGCGCUCCGAAAAGGCGUCAACAUACUUUUGGCGACUCCGCUGGGGACAAAACAUCUAAGCUCAUCAAAUCGGCCCUCAAUGGCCGGUUCAAGGGAAAGCUCUGAUAUUUCUCCAAGCAACAUCAUAGAGCCGACUUGGGAAACCUUGCCGGCUGACGAGCAGCUCCAGUUCGAGGAGCACAAGGAGCGGAUGAUCCAGGAGGCGAAAGCAAAGUUCUUGGCCAACUUCAAAGUGGACAGGAACAACAAGGUCGUCCGACAUCGGGCGACGAAUCCGGCUUCGCUCCAACCCACGCCAGAUAUUCCCAAUGUAAGUAAUACCAACGAUCUGCACUCUCUUAGAAAUUAUGUAGAAGAUCAGCGUGAACAAAUGCAGAACAUCAUAGGGGGUAUGCAAAGCGAUCUUAAGAGACUAGUGCGUGCAUUUGAUAAAUCUAGUAUCACAAAUUUUCCUUCGCACGAGGUUGAGUUAGGAGGUAACACGCGUAACACAUCGGCUACAGGUUGUCACGACCAGUCACAACCCCUUUAUGGGAUGCCGAUGGACACAUACCCUGAGCAACCGCAAAUCGGUAGCAAAUCAGCCGAUCUGCACAUGCCCGGACCGUCCGCACGUGAGCGCGGACCGUCCGGACCAACAACAGUCGGGCCGAUUUUUAAUGAGUUACCUAGAUAUGCGCCCGAACCUCCACACACGACGCAGAAUCUAAACUACCCAGUCGGACCGUCCGCGUACAACAACGGACGGUCCGCACAUAACCACGGACGGUCCGGGCCAAUGUCCGGACAGUCCGCACAUGACCUUUUUGAGGAGGAUUGUUACCGGAAUCCUCACCCAUCCCAGCAGCACUUUCCAUCGCACUAUACAAUGCAUCAACCCAUUAAUUCAAGAUCCAGAGCCCAGGAAAGCUUUCCGGCCCCACCCAGGAGGCCGGAAAGAAACGAUCAAACCUAUGACUCAUAUAGGGCAAAUGAAAAUGCACCACGUGACUCAAACCAAUGGGGGGAAAGACAACAUGCUAAUAUCCAGCCAACCCCACCUAUGUUUGACCAGAGAGUCGGUGGUCUCGCACCGGCUGCCAUUGAUAUAGUAAGGGAAGAAAUAGCCGGGGCGUUCCGAGAUAAGCUCGGAGUAAGCAUGGUCCCUGGGGGGCAAUAAUAUCGGAAACCUUAUGACAGCCGAUUUGAUCACCACCCAUACCCACAUGGAACCAGGAUACCCGAAUUCGCAAAAUUUUCGGGUGAUCAAGGGAAAAACACACGCGAACAUAUAGGUCAGUUCUUAGCACAAUUGGGAGAAUUGGCCGACACAGAGGCAUUCCGCGUACGUUUAUUUUCAUUGUCACUAACAGGAACCGCGUUUGCAUGGUAUGCCACUUUACCUCCUAAUUCCAUUUCAUCAUGGGGGGAUCUAGAACAAAAAUUUCAUGAUCAAUUUUUCUCCGGUGACUAUGAGUUGGAUUUGGUAGAUUUAGUGUCGUUGCUACAGACAAAAGAUGAAUCGGUUAAUGAUUACAUCCGGAGAUUCCGAGAUACAAGAAACCGAUGCUUUCAAAUUCAUUUAGCAGAGAAACAGCUAGUAGGAUUAGCCUUUAAUGGUCUGCGAUAUUAUUUAAAAGAAAGAUUAGAAGGCAUCCAAUUCUUUACACUAGCACAAUUACACCAGAGAGCUUUGGCUUGUGAAAGCCGAAGCAAAGAAACUACUAAAACAAUCCGUCACAACGUACAUGUAGUAGAAUGCGAUCAAAGUAGCUCAGAAGACGAAUCAGCAGAGGUGUAUGCUGCUGAAAUGGUUUGGCCAAAGCAGGCCAAAUCUUCGGCUUGUGCCUCCUUACAACCGGUUCAAAAGAAACGGCAAGAGGAGGUUAAGUUUACAUUUAAUGUUGGUAAGUGUGAUAGAAUAUUUGAUGAAUUACUUAAAAAUGGCAACAUUAAAAUAAAUCACACUGUUCCAUCCGCCGACGAGCUAAAACGUCGUGCAUAUUGCAAGUGGCAUAACUCAUUUUCUCAUGCCACUAAUGAUUGUAAUGUAUUCCGUCGACAGAUUCAAUCGGCCAUUAACGAAGGACGAUUGAAAUUUCAGGAAAUGCAGGUGGAUAUAGAGCCCUUUCCGAUGAACGUGAUUGACUUCGAGGGCAAGAAAAAGUCCUAGUUCGGCCAAACACAGCCGAUAAAGGCAAAGAGACAAUCAUCGGCAAUGCUAAAGAGGCCGAUGGGGAUCGUAAAGUUUCUUGCAGGAAAGUGGUGGCCGAGAAGACUCCCGAUGGAGGGGAGACCCUAAAGGUGACCAUCACAGCCUCCAGUACCGGGGGGCAAGUGCAGACAGGGAGACAGAUGCAGGAGCCCGUGCUGCGUAUCCCGGACGGUCCGGCACGUAGGCGCGGACUGUCCGGGACCCCACCGGACGGUCCGGAGAGCUCCGGCGGACGGUCCGGCCGUACUCAGGAUUCACAACGUCCACGUACUUUCAAACCACGACGACCAGAGAUAGGUACGUGGAAAACAAAUACAUUUAAAGCAGCUGGUCGGUUGGUUAAAGCCGGCCCAACUUUUGAUCAAUUAUUGUCUAAAUACGUAAAAAAGAAGGCCGGCCCCAGUGACCGGCCAGCAAAGCGACCCCGCUCACCCAUUCAUGAGCAGCGCCAGGGUAGGCCGAUUGGACCACCCCACCAAUCGGAAGAAAUGAAAGGUCAUACUAUACAAGUAAGACCUAACAUACCUGCAUGGACACCUCCACCUCCAUACCCACCUAUGCCAUAUCCGUACACAUAUUUACCUCCGUCAUAUGUCCCAAAUCAAAUGUGGGGCAUGCCACCAUAUCCAUUUGGGAUGCCACAGUACCCCGCCUGGGGGGCACCCCAAACAUCUGUUUUCAACAGGUUGACGCCACCAGUACAAGACCGAUUGAGCACUGCUCAAUCCGGUCACCAGGCACAAACCCAACAGGAUUGCCGGACUACUCGGCCUUCAAGGCCGACCAAUCCGGCAGGGGGGCAUAUGCCUGCAGCAACUCAAAAAACAACAAAAGGGGACAUCAUCAAAAUAGGCACCGCAGAUGUUGUCAUACAGGGAGACAAUAAAGGGCCGAUGAUUUUCGGCGAAUCGGCCAACGCAACCGAAAAGGAUACGGCUACCAUCAAAACAGCCGAUCCAAAAUAAUCCAUGCCUCGAUGGUGCCCAGCGGGAUUGACACGAUCCCAAAAGAGAAAAUUACAGCGCCUAAGAGCAAAGGAGAGCCAGGAGAAGGAGGCGGAAAAGACAUUUAAUGACACACAUCCAUUAUACCCGCCACCGCAAAAGAAAUGGAGACCGAAGGCCGUUGAGAAAAAACAAACGACCACAGAAAUAGAAAGUCAAUCUGCACCAAACGCGGACCGUCCGGCCCCUACGCGCGGACCGUCCGCCGUUCACCAGGAGGUCUCUGGACAACCUACACCAGGCGCGGACCGUCCGGCCACCGCACGCGGACCGUCCGCCGUUCACCAGGAAGCCUCCAACGACAUGACAACAUCAAUGGAAGAGGACGACCUGCUGGGAGAAGACCUGGUCGACUACGAGGCUUCUCCAGAACACCCAGGUAUGGAUGUAAAUAUUAUUACAUUUUCUGCCGAUUGUACUAUUAUCGGCGACGAUGAACCUGUUGUUGCCCAGUUUGAUUUUGGUCCUAAAGAAGCCGCCUUUACUAAACCAAAAGAAUCGGUAAAUCAUUUAAAGCCGCUCUUCGUGCGCGGCCACAUCGAUGGGAUACCGAUUGCUAAGAUGUUGGUAGAUGGAGGGGCGGCUGUAAAUCUAAUGCCUUAUUCAUUAUACAGAAAAUUAGGUAAACAAGAUGACAAACUUGUCAAGACCAACAUGACCCUCAGCGGUGUUGGAACUGAUAGUUCGAUCAAAGCCAGGGGAGUCACGUCCGUUGAAUUAACCAUCGGGACUAAGACCCUUGCUGCUGCAUUCUUCGUCGCUGAUGUAGAAGGAAAUUACAGUUUAAUCCUAGGCAGAGAUUGGAUUCACGCCAAUCAAUGUAUACCUUCUACAUUACAUCAAAUGCUGAUACAGUGGGUAGGCGAUGACAUAGAACAAGUACAUGCUGAUGUAUCGGCCUGCAUCGCUGUGGUCGAUGCCCCUGUACUCUGGACUUAUGAGACUGCUACAUGUCUCACAGGUGUAGACUUUUCUGAUUAUCAAUUCAUAAGUAUAGAUAAGAAAGGUUUCAUUCCUGUAAUGCUAGAGCCGAUGGAGAAUCGGCUAAAUCCUAAAUAAAGUUAAAUGAUGAAUACACACAAAGUUCAUGAGUCUUUGGUCACGGACAGUUCGGCCGCCAAGGCCGGAUGGUCUGGUCUUUCACAAAAGAGUUCGGACUUUAAGACCGAACAUCCACCACAGCGAAAAGACAGUAUUACGGAUGAUCCGGUCCCCGAGACCGGAAAGUCCGCCAUCACACAAAGAUCAUCUGAUUCCUCUGUGGGGGACAUGAUAGAGGAAUUCAGAGAUCUUGAUAAACUAGGACAGGGGUUUACAUCGGCCGAUCCUUUGGAGGAGAUUGACAUAGGAGAUGGUAAAACUCCAAGGCCGACUUUUGUAAACAAGACCCUGGAGACCGAUUCUAGAAAUGAGAUGAUCGGUCCAUUGAAGGAAUAUUCAGAUUGUUUUGCUUGGAAUUACACUGAAAUGCCUGGACUAAGCCGAGAAAUUGUCGAACAUCGGCUGCCUAUUAAGCCUGGUUUCAGACCUUUCAAGCAGAAAGCUAGAACAUUUCGUCCAGAUCUUCUCCCACGAAUCAAGGACGAAAUCCACCGGCUGCUAGAAGCUAAUUUUAUUAGACCUUGCAGAUACGCAGAGUGGGUCUCCAAUAUUGUGCCGGUGGAGAAGAAGGAGUCAGGUAAGCUUAGAGUAUGCAUUGAUUUUCGUAAUUUAAAUAAAGCAACUCCUAAAGAUGAAUAUCCCAUGCCCAUAGCCGACACAUUAAUCAAUAAUGCAUCAGGAAAUAGAAUUAUUAGCUUCCUUGAUGGUAAUGCCGGAUAUAAUCAGAUUUUCAUGGCCGAAGAAGAUGCGUCUAAAACGGCCUUUAUAUGUCCAGGCUUCAUUGGUUUAUUUGAAUGGUUGUCAUGACAUUCGGUCUUAAAAAUGCUGGUGCUACUUAUCAGAGGGCUAUGAAUCUGAUCUUCCAUGAGUUGUUAGGAAACACUGUGGAAGUCUACAUUGAUGAUAUUGUAGUCAAAUCGGCUGAGUUUAGUUCUCAUAUAGCUGAUUUGCGCAAAGCCUUUGAUAAAAUGCGUCGGUAUGGUUUAAAAAUGAACCCACGUAAAUGUGCUUUUGGAGUUUCGGCUGGGAAGUUUUUAGGAUUUGUCAUCCAUGAACAUGGUAUAGAAAUAGACCCUGACCGAAUCAAGUCUAUUCGGAAUGUGGGGCCUCCGACGUGUAAGGUCGAAGUGCAGAGGUUUCUCGGCAAGGUGAAUUAUUUACGAAGGUUUAUUUCUAACUUAGCCGGGAAAAUUGAUGCCUUCACCCCUAUCCUUCGGCUUAAGAAUGAUGCUGAAUUCACUUGGGGGGCAGAGCAGCAGGAAGCAUUUGAUCUCAUUAAAAAAUACUUGUCUUCGGCUCCCGUGUUAAAAGCACCACAAGUAGGAGCACCAUUCAGAUUAUACAUUGCAGCUGAAGACAAGGUUAUUGGGGCUGUUCUGACACAAGAAACUGAGGGGAAGGAGCAUGUGGUGACAUAUCUAAGCCGAAGGUUGGUGGAUGCUGAAACAAGGUACACUUUUAUUGAAAAGUUAUGCUUAUGCUUGUUUUAUGCAUGCACCAAAUGUAGAUGUUAUUUACUGUCUAGUCAUUGCACUGUUUCUGGUCAAGCCGAUGUAAUCAAGUACAUGUUGCAUAACCCAAUUAUGAGUGGUAGAAUUGGUAAGUGGGCUUAUGCACUCAUAGAAUAUGACUUGGCUUAUGAACCAUUGAAAUCUAUGAAAGGCCAAGUCGUAGCGGAUUUUAUUGUAGAACAUCGGGUUAAUGAUAUUCAUGAACUAGACAUAUCAUACCUCACUAUUACUCCUUGGACUUUAUAUUUUGAUGGAUCGGUUUGCAAUGAAGGGCAAGGAAUUGGCAUUGUGCUUGUUUCACCAAGUAAUGUCUCCUUUGACUUCUCUAGCCGAUUGAAAACGUAUUGCACUAAUAAUCAAGCUGAAUAUGAGGCCCUCCUAUUCGGUUUAGAACUGUUAAAUGGUAUGGGAGUAAAACAUGUGAAGGUAUUUGGUGAUUCUCAGCUGGUUGUCCAACAAGUGUUAGAAGAAUAUCAAUGUCUUGAUGGUACUCUAAAUAGUUAUCUUGAGAAAUGUUGGAGCAUAAUCCAUUCUUUUGAUGAAUUCAGUAUUCAGCAUAUCUCUAGAGUUGAGAAUCAUAGAGCUAACAACUUGGCACAAGAUGCAUCGGGUUAUCGGAUAAAGAGAGGGAAAUUUCACAAAACUGAAAAUCUGAUAACCAGUGCAGAGCCAAAUUCCCAGGUCGCGGACCGUCCGCGUGUUGACGCCGGACCGUCCGAGGUUACCAGAAAGGUUCUCUUAAUCGAUUCGGCUGACAAUGAAGCCGAUACAAGUGAUUGAAGGACACCUAUACUUAAUUAUUUGCAAAAUCCCAAUAUCAGGACAGAUAAGAACAUUCGGCGAACAGCUUUCAAGUAUGUUUUGAUGAGUGAUGAACUUUACCGCCGAACGGUUAAUGAUGUCCUGCUUAAAUGCUUGGGCCUAAAUGAUGCUAUAUUAGCCAUGCCGAAGUACAUGAAGGAAUUUGUGGUACCCAUCAAUCAGCUCCAAAGAUGAAGUGGUUGUUGCGAAGGUCUGGUUUUUAUUGGCCUAGUAUGACAGCUGAUUGUUUCAAGUACUACAAGGGGUGCCAAGUGUGUCAAAAAUUCGGUGACCUACAGUUGGUCCCUGCAGCCGAAUUACAUCCUAUCAUCAAGCCUUGGCCAUUCAGAGGAUGGGGAUUAGACUUUAUUGGAAAAAUUCAUCCUUCAUCAUCAAAGGGGCAUCGGUUUGUGUUAGUUGCCACUGACUAUUUCACCAAAUGGACUGAAGCCGUUGCUCUAAAGAACAUGACGCACAAGGAGGUAAUUGAGUUCAUAACUGAGCAUAUUAUUCAUAGAUUCGACAUUCCCCAGACCUUGACUACAGAUCAAGGUACUUCUUUUAUGUCAAAGGAGGUACGUGAAUUUGCUGAAUUAUACAGAAUUAAGCUGCUUAAUUCGUCUCCAUAUUAUGCUCAGGCCAAUGGACAGGCCGAGUCUAGUAAUAGGACGUUGAUUAAUUUGAUAAAGAAAAAGGUAUAUGAUAAUCCUAAACAUUGGCAUAAGAUUUUGUCUGAAGCUUUAUGGGCUCAUAGAAUAUCUAAGCAUAGUGCUACUAAAGUAUCUCCUUUUGAGCUUGUCUAUGGGCAGGAAGCAGUGUUACCUGUGGAAAUAAGUUUGAAUGCUGUCAGGUUUGCCAGACAAAAUGAUCUAACUGCUACUGAUUAUUAUAAUUCAAUGAUGGAUAAUAUUGAUGAGGUGACCGACAAGAGGAUGAUAGCUUUGGGAGCAAUAGAAAAGGACAAGAUCAUGGUAGCCAGGGCCUACAACAAGAAGGUCAAAGCAAAAUCAUUCCAAGUAGGAGACUUGGUGUGGAAGACCAUUCUACCUCUAAGGAAUAAAGACCGAAAGUUCGGGAAAUGGUCGCCAAGCUGGGAGGGUCCUUAUAAAGUGAAACAGGUGAUGUCUGGUAACGCUUAUUUACUACAAACAUUACAAGGCAAGGAUUUACCUAAGGCUUUGAAUGUGCGUUUCCUCAAACAGUACCAUCCUAGUAUGUGGCAAGAUGCCUAAGAAAACCGAUGUGAUCACAUCGAGUUAGUUGCUUUUGGUUCGCCUAGCUCCACCAAAAGGCAGGGGGGCAUAUGUUCGAACCAGAAUUGAGCCGGCGGACUGUCCGGCCCUGAGGCCGGACGGUCCGCGGUCCGGACGGUCCGCGCCUGUGGGCCGGACGGUCCGCGCGUGCACAGAACAGAUUAGGGUUCCGAGUUUUGUGCUACGGUUGUUAGCUAUAUUCGCGGGAUUAGCUCGGAAUCAGUUGUGUAAAGGGUCCAGCCCCCUCCUCUAUAAAUAGAGAGGUCUACGGCCGAUUUGUAAUCAUCAACAAUCGAAUCAAUACAACUUUUAUUCGCAUUUUAUCCUAGGAGUAGUUCUAGUCUAGUUUAGGUUUAGCCACUCGAUCCCCAAAUUCUCCGCCUCUCCUCGACUCUACGUCGAUUAGAGGAGUCUGGGUCGGCCUGCCCGAGCCUAGACACCACCUAGGAUCUCUACUCCCCGACGGGGUCCCUCCCGGGAGCGAGAUCCAGGCGCCGUCGGCGAUCUUCCGCCGUCCCUGCGUACGUGCGGACCGUCCGGCCCCAGGGCGCGGACCGUCCGGCCGUCAGGCAGAAGUCCCAGCAGCGCACCAGGCCGCGGACCGUCCGGCCCCAGGCCGCGGACAGUCCGCCCUUGCGCAGAGAGCACCACCGCGCCUCGCACCAGGCCGCGGACCGUCCGGCCCCUGCGCGCGGACCGUCCGCCCCUGUGCAGAGGGCACCGCCACGGUUCUUGUUGAGUGUUUGGCGCUCCGAAAAGGCGUCAACAAUUAUGUUCACAUUCUUUGGCUCUACCUAUCCAUUGUAGAGUAAAUAACUAUUUUCACAAUAAGAGUUAUUCAUACAGUGACAAUAUUUAAUUAUGAAAGUUGGCUAAGUAGCUGAUCCUUUAGUCUGUUCUUUUAGGAUAAAGGAGCACAAGUCUUUUUUUUCUUUUUAUUACUAUUUGCUCUGCAUAAUGGGGCCGAUGCUUAUGUAAGCAAUCGGGCCGAAUAGAUCCAUGUGGAGUAGCUCAAGCGGCCUGUCGGUCGUCAUGAUGUUCUUGUGUGGAUGAUGAACACCAACUUGCUUCCCUGCUUGACAUGCGCUACAAAUCCUGUCUUUCUCAAAAUGAAUAUUGGUUAGUCCCGAAAUAUGUUCUCCCUUUAGAAGCUUGUGAAGAUUCUUCAUCCCAAUUGUAGCUUCACUGUUCACUUUUGCAGACGACCGUUGGCGCUGUAGCCGUUACUCCGCAUGGCACACCGGACAGUCCGGUGAAUUAUAGCGGAGAACAUUUUCCAGAAACCCGGAGCUGAGGAGUUCGGAGUGAUUCUCUCUGGUGCACCGGACACUGUCCGGUGGUGCACCGGACAGUCCGGUGCGCCAGACCAGGGCAGCCUUCGGUUGGUUUUGCUCUUUUUUAUUUGAACCCUUUCUUGGACUUUUUAUUGGUUUGUGUUGAAUCUUUGACACCUGUAGAACUUAUAAUCUAGAGCAAACUAGUUAGUCCAAUUUGUUUGUGUUGGGCAAUUCAACCAUCAAAAUCAUUUAGGAAAAGGUUUGACCCUAUUUCCCUCUACUCCAAAAAUUUGGGGCAAACAACCAGACCACAGAUAUCUUAGUGUUUAGAAAUAAACAAAAAAUAUAUUUGUAACCUAGGCGCUGUUCCCCACGCUUUCCCGCCUCGUGGCAACGUACGGGCACAUACCUAGUAUGUAUAUGAAAAAAAUUAAAAAAGUGUGUACCAGACCUAGUCUGUUGUGUUGCAUCUAAGGCCCAAGCCCAACACGGUGAUCUAGCUGGGCUGGCAUGAGCCAUGUGGAGAACGGACCAACCAAGGCUAAACCAUGCUGACCCACGACCUAUUUAAUAGACCCCACCAAUUUAGACAUGUAUACUCAUACAUCAGUGAUACGCGGCAGGCAGCGACGCAACCAAGACGAUGGCAUGUGCAAACGAGGCUACUAGGUGUUAGUGAAACAGAGCUAUUAGGUCAUCGAUUGAGAUACACGGGUUUUUGAUUUGAUAAAUUUAUGAUUUGUUAGAUUUGAUUUGAGAUUUUAGUUGUUUGAUCGAGGAUAGUUUUUCCCGGAAUUGUUUUAAGAUUAAAAAGAACUUGAAAAGUUCUCCAAAUAUAUACCUCGGCCGUAAGAUGACUAUAUUAAAAGCUAAAGAUGGCAUGAGCACCACUAUCCUUGCUCUAAUAACAACCACCUCGGCCGUAAGCACGGCGCGGGCAACGAGGCAGGUGGCCUGCGCGGCCCUUUGCAUGCCUUGACUUGAAAGCUGGAACCGUUGGACGUGCUACGUAGCCGCGACGUCCGGAACCAUCACUGUUCCAGCUGUUGUCUGACGGAUAGACGCCGGCGUCGUACCCUUUACACCUCACUCUCCCGGAGUACAACUGUAUGCCACACGCCCACGCCCACGUCCGAGCCUUUAUAUCAAGGGAAAUGCUGCUGGGCUUGCAUUGCACCGUACCUCUGGCAUCGAGAGAGCUCGCCAGCGUCCAGUUGUCACGCUCGGCUCGAUCGGGCUCUGCCAACUGCCAUGGCGGCGGCGUCCGGACGGGCUCCGUCUGCUUGCGCGCUCCUCCUCCUCUUCCUCCUCCUCGUUGUGGGUGCCGCCGCCGCCGCCGUCAUCGUCGUUGAUGCCAACCGGGGGGAGCAGGAGCAGGACUGGGACUGGGAGCAGCUAAGCGCGGCGUCGCCCUCGCCGUGGAGUCCUGCGCCUGCCCCCGCACCGUCCCCCGUGAGCUUCAUAGGUAAAACUCCUCCUCCGUCCCGUACGUGGUGGAUGCCGUACACGCUUCGAUUCUGUGUACAUGUGCUGAAUGACUAACAACGACACGGCGUCCUGCUCGCUACGAAUUAACGGACGUCGUCUACUGCACUGCAGACUGCGGGAGCGCGUGCGGGGCGCGGUGCGCGCUGUCGUCGCGGUGGAACCUGUGCCGGAGGGCGUGCGGGUCCUGCUGCGCCCGCUGCAACUGCGUGCCGCCGGGCACCGCCGGGAACCACGACGUCUGCCCCUGCUACGCCGCCAUCACCACCCGCGGCGGCCGCCCCAAGUGCCCUUGACGUACGCAUGGGCGAGGGAGGCCGCCGCGCGCGACGCCUCUCCUCUUGUCUUGUGUACCGCGCGCUAGCAGUAUACUACCCCAUGUAGUCGUUUGUACUCAGCCGUGUACGUACGUGUCUCCGGUGCGCGUACGUACGGUACGUCACACAUGAUGCGACUGCAACUGCAAUGCAUGCCUGACCCGACCGUCUUUGCCUGGAAUGUGUCGUGUUCUUCGUUUGCUGGUGCUCGUUUACUGGAUCAUGUGUGGCUGGGAUGCGAGACAAAUAGAUAUGGCAAUUUUACACGUGGAUUCGGAUAUCCGUUAAAUAUCUGAUCCAUCAAGUUCAGGGCACAAAAUCUAACCCACGGGUCUCACCUGUAUCCAACCUGUAGUUAAAUCAAAUCAGGCCGGUACGGGUUUUACCUCUCGCUCACAGUUAUCCGAUGAAUAUCCGUAAUUAUUCAAUCUAAUUUUUUAUCACAUUACAAAUCAGCCCAACAUUCCAUUAAUCUUUCCAACUCCCCUCUCCGGCAUGGAGGCGAUCGUCAUUCUGGCUGCAUGCUGCUACGCCCCUGUCGCUGCCGGAUUGCUCGUGUGCUGUGUUGCACUUGCAGCAAAGUUUUGCUUGCUGCCGAUUACGUGCUCAUGAACGCAGCUUCACGUCUUCCUCAGUAAAAAAAGGGCAGCAGGCCAAUCAUGUUCCGGACUUGGGUAAGGCGGCUGUACACAGCACCACUUGAUAAUGAAAUUUGCAUAGUAUGUCUGAACUCUGAACCGAUGAAGACGCCAGUGAAGUUCUUCUUCGCCUUCUUCAGUGGUUCUACACCGCCUGCGGGCUGCGGCUUCAUGUCCUUCCCCACUCUGGGCCAGUGGGCCUCGAGGCCUAGAGGCAGAAGUAAGCCCAGUAGCUUGGUGCAUUGGGCUUCAGAGCUCAGUCAGCGUAGCAACUGAAAUUGCUGCGGCCUGCACCUGCACGUUCUUCUUCGAUUUCUCAACGCACCUGCACGUUCUUCUUCGAUUUCUCAACGCCUCCGUCCUCUUGGGAGGAGUAGUGGUCUCGUCGUGGGGCACAUCAUGUGGCCGCUCUCAUCGAGCGCAGAAGGGCGACUGAUGGUAUGGUACCUCGCCGACCUCAAACCCAGCAGCAGGAGCUCCAGUGGCAUCGUGAGCUACCGGGUACGUAAGCAGGAGACGGUGGGAAAGAUCCAGGUCCAGCCAGGGUUCUUGCAAAUCCAUCCAUCCAAUCCGCCGCCUACAUCCCGCUGGGCGCUGGCCAUGGCCAUGGCCAUCCCAUUCUACCUCGGCCCCUACUUCGUCAUCGGCAGCCUAGUGCGCCUGGUGUGGGACCGCCUGGACCCGGGCAGGGUCAAGGCGUUGGUGCCCCCCGUCGCGUCGGGCCUCAUCUGCUGCGGCGACGGCAUCUGGACGCUGCCGCAGUCGGUGCUGGCGGCCUGGCGCUCGGCCGCUCGCCGGCGUCAAGCCUCCCAUCUCCAUGAAGUUCCUGUUCCCCAGACCUAGCUAGCUAGCGAGAGAGCUGAAUCCUGAUGGAGCAGGAGACUGAAGAGCUAGCUGCCUGCUGCUGAUCUGACACCACCACCACCAACCAACACGCUGGCACACUGCUGCUGUGCUGCCAUCUAGUGGGACCGCCCGGGGCUCGUGUCUUGUUGCUGCCUUGCUUUAGAAUCAGAUGCUUUUCAAUGUGUCACACACUGCUGCCGCAUAAAUAGCUGGUGCUUGCUACUAGUUGGAAGGAAGGAAGGGAAGCGAAAGGCAGCAGUAAAUUAAAAGUAGCAUAGCAGCGAGUACGAGCAGUGCUGAAUUUGGGGGCGGUGAAGUGAAGGAGCAAGCAGCAGCUAGUAGAUAGCCAGCUCUGACUGAGCUUCUGAACUGAGAAGUACAUACCCUUCCCCCUUCCUCUUUCUUCUGUAGCCUGUACCUCAAGUAUAUAGAACUGAUGAAUUCAGUGCUUGCAUUGCAUUGCAAUGCAUUGCAUGCAUGGCUGUAGAUGCCUGACACGAUUGCAACUCAUCAAUCAACUCUACACUAGUAGAGUAGCUAGGAGCAGGGCUGCAGGAGCAUUGUAGCUAGGCUUCGCGGGCACACAGCGAGGAUAGGAAUAUCUCGCAUGCCCCGUGGGAGAUCUGGUCGGUCCCCCGUCAUCUGCUCUGCAUCUGCAGCCGCCCGCCCCCCUCCGAUCCGGCGCGCCGGGGCAGGAAGGCUCUGGAUCUGCACAGCCCAGUGUCAGUGUGGGUCAACCGGCCGGCCACUGCCCAGUGGCGGUCCUAACAUUUUAGGAGCCCGGGACAAGGUUUCAAAUAUAGGUCCUUCAAAUUACUCCCUCCGUUUCUUUUUAUUUGUCGCUGGAUAGUGCAAUUUUACACUAUCCAGCGACAAAUAAAAAGAAACGGAGGGAGUAUUUUUUAAUAUAUAAAUGUUACUAAUUAUACACUCAAAAUACAUCUAAAAAUAUUUAUAUCAAAUAAUAAGUAAAUAAAAAAAUAUAUACAUAUUUGGAUAUUCAUUAUUUUGUUGAUGGGCUAUUAGAUCACAUGACUAGAAUUGGGCCCUAUAAAUUCGGGGGGCCAGGGCGACCGCCACUCCGCCCCGCCCUCAGGGCCACCACUGCCACUGCCAGGGCCCAGGGCCAGGCCUCUCCCUCCGCCCAUCAUUGCGGAUCAUGUGAUCCGUGUAAAAAAAAACUCGCUCGCCUGGCUCAUCUUGCUCCCACCUGCACAGCACACUGGCAUCGCUGGACCGCAGUGCAGUGUCAGUGUGCAGCGCGCUGGCAGCACAGCAGGUGACAAUCUCCAUCCAUGGAGGUGGAGCUCCCAUCCACGGGGAACAGGGGAGGUAGGAGUAAACGGUAGCAGCGAGCUGUUACUGCAAGAACAGGCAAUGAAAAUGCACUCGGCUGCCCUCGGGAAUCCCGCGAAAUCCCCCUCGCGUUCAGAGCCUCGUCGGGUGGGGUUGUUGCGGACCUGCAGAGCGCAGGAGCAGCCGCCGUGCGGGGUACUGUAGAUGGCAGCGCCAGCGCGGGGCAGACGGGCGUGAUUUUCACCACGGUUUGCUGGAGAAUGCAUGGAUGGAAUCGCUGUCUGCCUGUCUGUCCCUCACGUACGGAGCGGAGCACUCGCUUUGUCCUAUAAUAAAAAAAAUAACUGUACGGCUUGCGGUUAUUUUCUUUUUUUAAAAAUCAACUAAAAAUAUAUAAAAACACUACUAAUAUUUUUUGGUCUCCAAUGAAUUCACCAUAAAAUUAUAAUAUAUGGUUAAUAUAAUAAUAUGCAUUAUAUAUUAUAUAAAUUUGAUAAAACCUUUAGGACUGAGCGAUUGUUGCCAUGCCAUUAUGCCAACCAAACCAAGAGCCUUUUGCUGCUUUCCUGUCCCUCGCCCUCGUGUGCCACCAGAUCUCUUUUCGCCCCUCCCCCCACCACACACUCACAUCCCGACCCCACCCACACCAGCAGCCGAGCCGAGCCGAGACGAGGGCGCCAAUUUGCCAAAGCACUCACACCUCCCUGACUUGGGCCUGCAAGGUGCUGCUGCAUGGCAUUGGCGUGCCUGCGUGCUGCAGCGGUGUAACUGAUCUGCACAGCAAACACCACCACUCCCAAACCGAAACCGAGCUGCGGCUCACGCUGAAUUUCCCAGGUACUGGAAUUUCAAGCAUACACGGAGCUGGGAGCUGCUACUGACUACUACAGUAAGGCUUGGCAGAGAGCAUUCCUGUUCAUUUAAUUUCAUCAGGAAAUAAAGAAGAAGGGAAAACAUGGAAGCUUGGCCUCCGGUCGUGUUCCUCUGAAUAUGGACAGGCAGCAGCCCUGGGAACCAUGGCAAUUGCACAGCCAGGUUCAGGCUACGGCGAGCAGCGCAAGCGCAGAUGGAUUUCGAACAUGGCAAUUGCACGGCGCAGGUGCUGAACUGCGCCCCCCCCCCCCCCCCCCCCCCCCCCCCCCCCCGCGGACACGGAUCGUGUCUCUGCGAACCGUCAGCACGUUUUCUUCAUGUAUGGAUGGAUCCUCACUGGAGCUGCUGUGCAACUGCAGGAGAGAGGGAAAGCAUGAAGACGUUUCAGCGAAGCAGCACGACAAGCCUGACGAUCUGCUUCAGGACGAAGCAACACGAAAUCUGAAAGCUUCCCUGGCACGAGGAAUUCCCUCGAGUCCAUCCAGUGGCUCCUGACUGCAUCUUCAUAGCGGCGGCGCCGAGGAAAUCGUGGCUAGAAUGAGAAUUGGUUCGCGCGAGAUUUAGUUAGCCGGAACAAAGAAUUCUCAAAUCUGGCUCGCCGAUCGAAACAACCAGAGCAAAUGCAUUCGUCGAAACUGUGCAAGAUCCAGGGAAGGAAGGAACACAUCCUAGGAGCCAAGAAACCCGCAGCGAAACAAAGAAAAGAAGGCGGAACUCGCAUCCGAGGAGCCAAGCAACCCGCACCGAGAAAUUCACAAGGCCGGAACCACCCCCCCUAGCUACCUGAAUUCAACCCACAGAAAACCAUCUGAGCCACAAUUCGCCUCCGCACACGCGAGGGAAUUCAGGCACCCGAUGCGGCAAGAGCGAACUCGUUGUCAGCGAAUUGAAUUCCCCGAGAAUUACACCCGGGCGACCCAUACGGAGCCGAAAUUCAGAGCGGGAGGACCUAAAUUCCCCUCAACCGGCUGAAUUCUCGGCGAUGCUGGCACAAGAGGGGAGGCUGCAUGGUUUCCAUGGGCUUUCUUGAACCAUCAACAGGUAGAGCCGGCCGAGAGCGAGGCUGCGGGGAAGCUCCGCAGCUCAAUUCACGGCCGGUGCAUGGGGGAAGAGAAUUGCUAGCUGGGAGGAGCCAAGCAUUCCAUCCGACAUACCACCACCACCCACGAGUUCACAGUUCAAGAAAGCCUGUGGAAAGCAUGCCCGCGCACCUUUCUCCACACGUCCCACACCCCGUUCCUCCGGCGAGGGACACGCGCCGACCACAAUUCUACGCCGCCCACGGAGAGGGAGGGGGACUGGAACUGUGGUGUGGAGAGAGAGGAGGGAGGUGGUUGAGAGAGAGAGAUAGAGAGAGGGUUGCUUUGGAGUGAGAGCAACGGCCCACAGAGGCCGGGGGAUAUAAAUAGCUGCGGCAAGUAACCAACCAACCGGGCUGGCGGUGGCGGGUGGCGUGGUAGCGGCACCGGCAGGCGGCAGGCAGCGGCCAGAGCGCAGAGGCACGGGCCGGUACCCAGCCGUAGCCCCGUAGCCGAGUACUCUCGGUCCUCUCCUCUGACCUCCCUCUGUCUGGCUCUCUGCCCAUGGAUGGGCGAGGCUCAUGGCGGACGAAGGCAGCCAGGCUGCCAGUGCCAGGCCCCUCCUUUUCCGUGCGCCUGCCGGCACCCGCGCGCUCGCCAUUGAUUCGGCCUCGUUUGCGCUAGCUAGGACUCUAGGAGUAGUUCCCUUUCCUCCCUUUCUUUCUUGUGCUGCUUUUUUUUAUCCUCGUAAAAAAAAUGAAACCGUAGAGGUAGAGGACAGAGACGAAGCAACUGCAGUGCCGGCCGGGCCAGCGCUGCGUGGAUCUAUCCACCGAUCGCAUCACAUACAUACUACAGCACCGCUUGCUUGUCCUGCCUGCCUGCCUCAGCCGCUGCGGCUGCUGCUGCGCCCUAUCCCGGAUUAAAAACCAUCCCGGCCGGUCCAGCUCUAUCGCCGCCCCGAUCCCGCCGCUGCAGCGCUAGCCUCCUGCUCUACCUAGCGUUACCCGACUAGCGAGAUCGGCCUAGCUAGCUAGCUGCGCUGGCUGGCUGCCUCCUGCCUGUUCGCCAUGAAACGGAUCCAUCGUCGUGAAUUCGGGGACGAUGAUGAAUGCCGGAUGGGGUUCAGGGCCGAGGCCGGCCGUACGUAUUCGAGCUCGCUCGCAGCCUGAACUGAAUGUUGAGCGAACACAGUUUUUGCCAGCAGCCAAGCCACCAAGGAGAUUAGGAGAAAGAAAUACCUGCCACUAGCUUGCGAGCUCGCAGGAGAAGACGACGAACGGCAACGGAACAGAUCGGCCAGGCCACCAACCCCGGGCCAUGCCUGACACCGGAGCAGGCGAUCGAGAUCGGGCACGGGCGGCAGCAGCAGGCAGGAAGGCACACAUGCUCCUUCCAUUCUUCCAAAAGCGAUUUUUUUUUUAAAAAAAGAGAGCUUUGUUCGCUCGCUCCAGCCGUCCAAGAUGUUAAAAAAACAAGCUUUCCUCGGUGUCCAUGUGCCGCCCGGCCGGCUCCGGUGGGUAUCGGACAAGGCGGUCCGAGAUUUUCUAGCCCGUGUCGAGUGCCUCCUGCCCUGCCUUUCUUCGUCAUGGCCAUGUGUUUGCUUCAUACAGUAUACGAUAUAUACUAUAAACCUCUUCAUCUUUCCUGAAACACAAGCGUCUGCUACGCAUCUCCAGAGAAUGGGAUGACCGACCGGCAGGACAGCAAUGUAACGCACCCACUGGGCCAGUCCGCCUAAAGCCCACCAUCGCCAGCGUCGGACGUUCAUGCGCUCGUGCGCAGCCUAUUCAGACGGGCACCUCGCUCUCAAAACCUAGGCUGAGAGAGGAGGGAGGCCCGCCCUUAUAAGUGCAACACGGCCCCCUUGGCUAGGCGAGGUGGUACUAACCCAGGGCGUGCAUACCGGUCCCUUACAUCCCACCCCCCUAAGAGGCCCAAAGCUCUCCCAGGCAGCAGCGGCAAUGUAGGCUCCGAUACCAAUUGUAACGCACCCACUGGGCCAGUCCGCCCAAAGCCCACCAUCGCCAGCGUCAUACGUUCAUGCGCUCGUGCGCAGCCUAUUCAGACGGGCACCUCGCUCUCAAAACCUAGGCUGAGAGAGGAGGGAGGCUCGCCCUUAUAAGUGCAACACGGCCCCCUUAGCUAGGCGAGGUGGUACUAACCCAGGGCGUGCAUACCGGUCCCUUACAUCCCACCCCCCUAAGAGGCCCAAAGCUCUCCCAGGCAGCAGCGGCAAUGUAGGCUCCGAUACCAAUUGUAACGCACCCACUGGGCCAGUCCGCCCAAAGCCCACCAUCGCCAGCGUCGGACGUUCAUGCGCUCGUGUGCAGCCUAUUUAGGCGGGCACCUCGCUCUCAAAACCUAGGCUGAGAGAGGAGGGAGGCCCGCCCUUAUAAGUGCAACACGGCCCCCUUGGCUAGGCGAGGUGGUACUAACCCAGGGCGUGCAUAUCGGUCUCUCACAUCCCACCCCCCUAAGAGGCCCAAAGCUCUCCCAGGCAGCAGCGGCAGUGUGGGCUCCGAUACCAAUUGUAACGCACCCACUGGGCCAGUCCGCCUAAAGCCCACCAUCGCCAGCGUCAUACGUUCAUGCGCUCGUGCGCAGCCUAUUCAGACGGGCACCUCGCUCUCAAAACCUAGGCUGAGAGAGGAGGGAGGCCCGCCCUUAUAAGUGCAACACGGCCCCCUUGGCUAGGCGAGGUGGUACUAACCUAGGGCGUGCAUACCGGUCCCUUACAAGCAAUAACCCUGCGUCUGUGUUGAUGCAAUGCAAGGCAAGGCUGGCAGCGCUGAAUCUAAAGAAGGUCUGGACUCUGGACCACACCCCUACUGUUGCCAGAGAACUAUGCAUGGGCCGGAGCCGGACAUUGACUGUUCUGUUCUGUUCUCUGCUCUGCUCUGUGUGUUCACUUCUCUUGUACUACCGACCGUACACCGUGAAUCUGCCAUUGCCAUGACCAUGAGGUCCGGCUCCGGCGGGCGGUGCCUUCCCCAUGGCCAUCACCCGGCAGUGGGCUGGGCGUCGCUGUCAUGACGCCGCCACCCAUUCCCGUGCAUGCGAUGCGACAUCCACCAUAUGACGACAGAUUGAUUGAGCCACAAAGCCUGCCUUUGCUCUCCUGCAAAGGAUAUAAUUGUCGACCAAAUCCACUUUCACGGUCGGCCUCUAAUCCAUCGAAUGAUGAGCGGUCCCGCAGCUUUUCUAUAUAUAUAUUUUUAGAAAAUUACCAAGUUAUAUACACACGUAACUUUUGUAUAUAUAAUAUUUUACAGAGCAGCACUUAUUAGCAUAGUCUUUUAUUAUAACUUUUCUUGAUACAAGUUUUAUGUAGUUUUAUAGAUAACUGGGUACGAAAAUAAAAUCGAAUGAACGUUUGCCAUUUAGUUGAGUGGGUUUGUCGUCGUAUUCGUCGUUGAAAAGGGCUACCCAAAUUCGGCUCUUUGACGAGUGCUAAAUAAUUUGUCGAGUGUUUUUUUCGGACACUCGAUAAAGAAACUCUUUGUCGAGUACUAAGUAAAAAAACACUCGGUAAAAAUAAAACACUCGGCAAAGAAACCCUUUGCCGAGUUUUUUUAUUUUUGACACUCCGCAAACAGUUUGUUUGACAAGUGUUUUUUUUACACUCGACAAAGAGCUUCUUAAAAGUAGCCUAGAGGGGGUGAAUAGGCUAACCUAAAAUUUUUCACUAUAAACUUCGAAAUAUUGUUAAAUCUACAGUUUAACUGGUGCAUGCCAGUUCAACUGCUACACAGGCAAGUUGAACUACUUUGAAUCAGUCCAACUAUUAGGGUAACUCUAGACUAUGAACUAAGCGAAAAAUAUAUUGUGAAUCCCUUGUAGAGGACAAUGCAACUAAUAGGCAAAGUGAGUAUGAUGAAGAUAUGAGAGCUAUUUCACCAUAAGAUCCGCACGGCGAGAAAACAUAUAUGUCUAUCUUGCCAAAUAAGAUCUCAAUCACAGAGCAAUCAAGAACACAAGACACAAGAUUUAUCUCAAGGUUCGAUCACACCACAAGUUGUUUGACUAGAAAACCCGACCCAAACCGGUUGAACCGCUCUAGGGGGCAGUUCAACCGCCCCUGACAGGUCAGGCAGACAAUCUACUAGUCUGACUAGCAGACUAUCGCGCAGUCUGGUCAAGUUGACCUAGACCGGUUGAACUGCCCCUGACAUCUAUGUCGACUUGUCUACCAGUCUGACUGGUAGACUGUUUGUAAGAGAUCAGAGGGGUCAGGGACCAGUUGAACCGCCCCUGAGGACCAGUUCAACUGGUCUUGACCAGAGAAUUCAGGAGAGAAAACCUCAGUUCAACUGGCCCGGAGGCAAGUUCAACUGGUGUAUGAUCAAAGAGGUUCACAGUUGAAGUUGAAGUUCAACUCGAGUUGAGAAAGCUCAACUGUAGUUGAAGAAGUUCAACUCAGCUGAAGAAGCUUAACUCAGUUGAAGUUUAACUCAGUUGAAAAAGUUCAACUGCAUCUGAAGAAGUUCAAUUGCUUUUCAAUAAGAACACUCUCAGUUUCUCAAACCUAACCACGUUCAGACUUAGAGCAUUCAAAAGAUUUGGUUUUCAAAAAUAGCUAUUGAAUUUGGAGCUUGAGCUAUAGCAAACACCAUUACCUGUGCGAAAACUACUAAGGAAAAAAUAGAUCCUGCGACUCAAGAUAUACAUAAAAUUUUAUACGUCCACCACAUGGAGUCUUUUCAAGGGAACCACAUAUGUGUUUCUUUUGUUCUUGGAACUUCCUUUUUGAUUUCUCACCAGUGGUUGUGACUCCUUUAGUUCCUGCACAUUCUAAGCAUACACUAUGAGCGAACUUGUUAGUACCCUUAUUUGUUUUGUCAUUAAAUCACAAAAAAUCUCACUUAGAGUUGAUUGCACUUACACUUCUUUGUCGAGCGAUUUAUUUUGGACACUAGGCAAAGAACUUCUUUUCCGAGUGUUUUUUUCAACACAAGUCAAAGACAAUUUAAAAAUCACAUUUUAAAGCAGUAAAUUAAUUCAAAUAAAAAAGUUCUCAACUACAAAUUUUGUAUAACUCAUCAAGACGUACAAUUUAUAUUUUGAUCAUUUCCUCGUAUGACAGAAUAAAAGUAAAUGUGUUCAUAAAACCUAUAUCUCUCUCGUAGUUUAUGAAACUCGAAGAGAGAUGUACAAGAUUUGUGAAUAAUGUUAGAAAUAUCAUGUGAGAUGAACAAAUGAAUAAAUAACAACCAAAAUAAACUUUAUAGAUCUUGAGAAGUUACAGAAUUUUGUAGUGUCAACUUUUUUCAUUUGAAGUCAUCUUGUGAACGAAAACUACGUCUUAAUUUUUUAAAAAAUUGAAUUUUGAAAACGACCUCGAAUGGAAAAACCAUCAACAGAAAAGUUGUAGGUCUUGAAAUAUUAUAAAACUUUGUAGUUGACAAUGUUUUGGUUUGAAAUCAUCUUGUCAUGCAAAACUAUGUUUGAAUUUUAAAAUUUGAAUUUUUCAAACUACCUCAUAUGGAAAAAAAUAUACCAAAAUAAAAGUUAUAGGUCUUGAAAUGUAAUGAAACUUUGUAAUUGAUAAUUUUUAAUUGUGAAAUUCAAAUUUUGUAACCGGCCUUAAAUGUAAAAAUGAUAAGGCGAUGGGUAUGGAACGGGUAGUGGUUGCAGAGUUGUUCCCAUAAUUUUAAAAAUACUUUGUUGCUUUUUGGGGGUUUAUUUGCGAUUAGUUCGAAUCUCACCAUUCACAAAACAUGUAAAUUUGAUUCAAAAUAAUGGUGAAAAUGAUAUGACGAUAGGUAUGGAAUGAGUAGUGGGUGCGGAGUUGUUCCCAUAAUUUCAAAAAAAUGCUGUUUUUUUGUUUUUUUUGCGAUUUUUAAUUUGUCGAGCGUUUUUCGACAUUCGGCAAAAUCUUUACCGAGUGUCCGAAAAAGUACUUAUUAAAGAACCCAUUGUCAAUAAAAUAUUUACCGAAUAUUAUUUAUCGAGUGUAACACUCAGCAUGGUUUUACCGAGUGUAAAAUAACCGGACACUUGUCAAAGAAGGCAGUCGUAUAAUAGAGAGGUGAUCGAUCAACGACGGUCAUUGUGGGUACUGCAAAAAAAAAAAAAAAGUGUGUGCCUUUACAGUCAGACAGCAGAAUGUGCUUUGUGGUGGCGAAUCGAGGAAGCUCGUGCGUACACAUGGCCGCGAGGGGAGGUUGUGACACUGUUGAAGAGUCAGUAGCGCUUGGCCAGCCAAACGGACAGGGUGGCUAGCUACCGGUGCCAACCAACCACAGCGCCCUGCAUCCAUCCAUCUGUUGUUACCUGUUCUGUCUUGGCGUCAUCUACCUGUCGAAAAGGGGUCCCAGCUCCAAGCUCCAGCCUGACCGACGACGGCAAGUGCACGGCGCAUCCUAUCUAUGUCUAGCAGCAGAGCACGCACGGCACGAUUCAAGGCACAGGCACCCGUCGGGAAAGCGGAUUUGUGUUGGAUCUGAAUGAAAGCCGAUCCAUCCAUCAGCAUGCUGCAUGUGCCAUUUGUGAAUAUUUGAGCUGUAAAGACGAGCGGGCCGGCCUCCCAGACUGUCCGUGCAACACACACGCAUGUACGUACUAUCACCCAAAGAGAAACAGAUAGAUUCACAUGAACCGCCGCCGGCGACGCAGGCAGCAGCUUGAAGGUUUGUCUGUCGGCACGGCAUAUAUACGAGCCUGGGACCGGUACGUACGUAAGGUCGAUCAGGUGAUCCAUUAGCUAGCCGGACCUGGUAGUUUGCGCCAUGCCGUGCCGUGCCCCCCGCUCGCGCGCGCGGUGGCGCACAUGGCAAAAACAUGCAUUGCCGAUCGAGGUCUCCUUCCGCCACGGCCGCCUUUUUGCUCUGCAUGCGUAUGCGCCCGGCCGUACGUUGACAUAUAUGGCCGGCCACGCCGACGACGUAGGGCUCGUCGUCGUCGAUCGAUGGAUCAUGCGGUUUGUGCGCGUCACGUGCCACGUCGUCUAACCAUGUAUGCGUGCGCAUGGAGUCAUGGUGAUCGCAUUACGCGUAUGCGUACGUUGUUAUACGUACGUGCCAUGUGGCCUAAACCUUACUGGUCACCUCGAAUUCAGUUAUUGAUCAUUCAAAUGGGGCGGACUAAACCGUGGGCCUAUUUGGAUCGGCUUUUUUCUAAAAAUAUGGCUAUGGAGAGAAGCUGACUUAUAAGAAUAUAAGUGUUUAGCAACCUAGUUAUGGAGAGGAGUUGCUGGUUAGAAUCUACAUGUUUGGAUACCUACACUUUCAAAUGCCAGAUUCUGACUAUAAAAAUGAAAAAAAUACAAAUUGUCUCAUUAACCAGCACCUAAUUGGAAAUUAGCACAUGCUCUCUCCAUUAGAACAUUCUCUGUUACACGUACAUAUCAAGAGGUACACCGAAACAAGGGGAAAAGGACAUAAACUUUCAAGCUAGCUAGCUAGUCACUACCGGAAUCCGGGCCUUUGCCGAGUGCCAGCGGCUUUGUCGAGCGCCGCACUCGACAAAGUCCUGCACUCGGUAAAGAGCUUGUUUACCGAGUGCGGGAUACUCGGCACACAGAAACACUCGGAAAAUACUACUUAGCCGAGUGGAAAACACUCGGCAAAGAUGGUGCUCGGCAAAGGACCGUUAGUUGCCGUUUACAGCUGACGGUCGUCAGCCUUUGCCGAGGGCCAAAGUCCGGCACUCGGCAAAGAAUACUCUUUGUCGAGUGUUAAAUAUCUGACACUCGGCAAAGAAAGUCUUAACCGAGUGUUUUCAGUGGGCACUCGGCAAAACAUAUUUUUAUUUUUUAUUUCCCCAACCAAACUUUUUGUGGUGUGUUCCUACAUUAUAUAGACCUACAUGUACCAUUUUGGGACAAUUAUAACAAUGUUUUCAAUAGCUAGUAGAUUUAGUUCGUUUAUUUAAAUUUCUUCGGAAAAUUUAGAUUUCAACUGCAAGUCACUCGAAACUUAGAUAAUCGUGCAUGCAAAAAUGAUACAAAUGUUAUUUAGCACAAGUUACGACCGAUUUCAGGAGCGGACCGGAAACUUCGAGCGACAUGCUCACUAAACAUGGUCGUGAACUUGUCAUCCACAUGUUUAAAAAUUGUAUAAAACACAAACAAAGUCAGAAAAUCAUGAAACUUGUCCACGUGUCAUGAUAUCAUAUGUAGAGGAUUUGAAAAAGUUUCGAAAAAACUGUGACGCGCUAUGUGUAGAAACCUAAAAGAUCCACAUUGAAACUCUAUGAUUUCAUGUUUAGUUCUCUUAGGUUUCUACACAUAGUGUCUCACAACUUUCUUCAAACAUUCUCAAAUUUUUAUCACAACCUCUAUAUAUGAUAUGAUGACACGUGGACAAGUUUCAUGAUUUUCUGAGUUUGUUUGUGUUUUAUAAAAAUUUUAAACAGUUGGAUGGCAAGUUCACGACCAUGUUGAGUGAGCAUGGUGCUCGAAGUUUCCGGUCCGCUCCUAAAAUCGGUCGUAACUUGUGCUAAAUAGCAUGGAUAUGAUUUUUGCAUGCACGAUUUUCCAAGUUUCGAGUAACUUGCAGUUCAAAUGUGAAUUUUUCGAAGAAAUUGAAAUAAACAAACUAAAUCUACUAGCUAUAGAAAAAACUUUUCUAAUUGUCUCAAAAUGGUACAUGUACGUUUAUAUAGUGUAGAAACACAUCACAAAAAAUUUGGUUGGGAAAAUAAAAAAUAAAAAUGUUAUUUGCCGAGUGUCCAAAAAUGACACUCGACAAAGUAGCCUUUGUCGAGUGUCAGUUGGUUGACACUCGGCAAAGAAUAGUAAAAUAAUCUGUGCCGAGUGCCCCCGAUCUGGCACUCGACAAAGUGUAUUUUAAAAUUAAAAAAAAUCUUUGCCGAGUGCCAGAUCACGGGCACUCGGCAAAGCACUCGUACAUAGCAAAUGUAAGUCCUUUCUUUCUCACUCUCUCACUCUCUUCUCACGCGCCGCCGCCGCUGCUCUCCACGCCGCCGCCGCUGCGCCCUCGCCCGCUGCGCCCCUGCCCGCCCUCGCCCACCGCGCCCCUGCCCUUGCCCGCCGCGCCCUCGCCGGCGCCCCUGCCCUCGCCAGCUGAGCCCUCGCCCGCCACUCCCCUGCCCUGGCCCGCCGCGCCCUCGCCGGCGCCCGCCCGCCGCGCCCUCGCCCUCUCACUCUCACGUGUCGCCGCCGCCGUGCACUCGCCCGCUGCGCCCUCGCCCGACCACCGCGCCCUCGCCCCUCGCCCGGCCGCCACGCCCGGGCCCCUCGACCUCGCCCGACCGCGCACGCCUUCCACGUCGUUGCGCCUCGCCGCCGCUGCCCCCACGCUGCCGCGCCCUCGACCGUCGCCCGCGCCCCGUCGUCUCACCCGCGACCCACCGUCACGCCCGCGACCAAACCUCUAAGGUGAUUCAUAUGAAAUAAGUAGGUUUAAUACUGAGUCAAAUUUAUAGGUUCUUUGUCGAGUGUACUUGCUCUGGCACUCGGCAAAAAAGCACGUUUUACCGAGUGCCAUACCAAGCAUUCGACAAAGUACCUGACAUAGGGACCCCUCUGGCGGAUUCUUUGUCGAGUGCUGUUAGGCAGACACUCGGCAAAGGUAACUCUUUUGCCGAGUGUCACCUGGGACACUCGGUAAAGACGCUGUCUCCGUCACCCGACGCCGUAACAGCUGUUUUUCUUUGCCGAGUGCACGAGAAAAAGUACUCAGCAAAGAAGGCUUUGCCGAUAAACUGUAUGCCGAGCCCUCUUUGUCGAGUGCGACACUCGGUAAAGCUUUUGCCGAGUGUUUUUAAGAGCCGUCGAUUCUGGUAGUGAGUCUAGAUCGGACCGGGCGACCUGUCAUCUGUUCCUGACGUCAGGCCCUGACGGGACGGGGUCCGACCGGUAACAACGGCGGGCAUACAAGGACGUACGGACGGCCAAAUGGCCAAUGCAAUGAACCGACACAAUCUCGCUUGCGAUGCAAUGGAAACCAGCAGGGCCGAACCUAGGUUAUAUAUAGAGUUGAGUGUAUGUGGAGAAGCAGGCCAGGAGCCGAUCAACCGACGGAGCCACGCCACAUCUUCUUCCUCCGUCAGCCACUAUAUAUGGCAUUUUUGCUAUCAUGAUAUUGCUAGCAGUAAUUAUAUUGGAGAUAUUCUCUACGGUCGUCCAGUAUUCGAUUUGGCUCUUAUUCUAAUGAUGAAAAAUAUCAGAAUAUAGAUAAAAUAUUUAUAACUACUGGUCUAUCAACAGAUCUAUAUUUUGGAGAUUUAAUGUUUUCAAGGGGGAGGAUGAUGAGUCCAUGACUCAUCAAAAUACUGUUACAGAAAAUUAUGCCGGUAAUUCUCGUGAUGAGUCAUCUAGUUUUCCAUUUGGUGAUAUUUCUUUGAAGGAAAAAUAUAACAUGAAGAAGGGAAUAUUCAAGGCUAGUGGAAUGUUUUCAAAUAAUUUUUUUAGAGGCGUCAAAUUUAUCAUCAAGAUGAUAGAAGAAAAAAAAAAGGAACCAAACAUGAUUUAUAUUGAUUCCAUGCACAAGGCGAGAUUCCUGAUGCUGCUGUUCCAGCUUAAUUGGCUUCUAUGGGAGAUGGCGUGAUGAAUCUGAGCCAUUUCAUACGAAGGAUAGCGUGUUCCUCUCAUCAACCUCUUGCUGAUCCUUCAAGGAUUGUGUGGAGUGCGUGAUCCAGCUGCUACUGCUGCUUGGUGUGCAUCGGAUUUCUGGUGGGAUCCCCAUCUCCUGAUCGUGGUACGUCAUGACCGCCAGUGGAAGAAUGUAUCUAGGGUUUGGUUUGCAUCUCUUGUAAGCUGAUCCCUCCUAUCUUCGUAUUGUCGCUACUGCUUGUAGUUGAUUGAUCUAAACGAGACUAUUGGGUUAUUAUUGAGGAGUCCAGUUAUUGCCUACAGCUAUUUUUGUGUGCGAUCAUCUCAAGUUGUGUGGCUGCUGCAGUUUGAUUAUGGCAAGAGAAUAUCUACGUAGUAGCUUGUUAGAUCAAUCGUCAUUGGGAAUAAUCUAUUGUUCCCUAGCUGUUCUUUUCUCAAUAUUAAAUCAUUCACCCAUUAUAUUUAGAGUUGGAUUUAUUUUCCCUCGUCACAUACUAGUGGUGAUUUCGGUUCAACAAAAUUUAGAGAAGCCCUGAUCUGUACCGUGAAAGAUCGGGAAAUCUUACGGGCACCACCGUAGCAUGUCUUUAUUAUCUAGUAUGAGAGCUAGGACCCAUCUUAAGUUGGAAAUGAUGAGUACAUCAUCCACUAUUACCUGUUGGCAAAGAUAAAUGUAGUCGGACGGCGACCGUGUAAGCCUUAGAAUUAUAUCACCUUGCAUAACUUGUGAGGAAAAAACCAUCUUAAGGCCUAGUUUGGAAACUCUAUUUUCUAAUGGGAUUUCUAUUUUCUCAUGGAAAAAUGAACUAUUUUUUCUUAGAAAAAUGAAAAUCCUUUCGAAAAAGUAGGUUCCCAAACUAGCCCUAAAAGGGAGAACCACCCUUCCCCAUCGGACUAGAAUUUUGGGGCGAUCGGAUCUCUCCCCGAGUUUUGUUGUACUUAAUGAACUGUUAGGCUCCAGAUAACCCUAAUUUGUUGGCUCUCGGUUAACCUCACUAGGCUGGGUGUAUCAUUUUCCUAUAUACAUGUCCGUGUAUUAGCAUCAAGGAGGCACACAUUUUUCCAAACAUCCUAGCACCACUCAAAGCCGCUGUCAGAUUUAAUCCUGAUGUCCGUUUCUUCUGCAGCAACCAAAAGCGUGAAGCUUCCAUCUUCAGCCCUAUCGAAAAAGGCAGUGAUGAUGCAUGGUGCGGGAUUUCAGAUACUGCAAUUUAUUGCAAUGCCAUCAGCACCUUAUGAUUGUCUGCAGGCAAUGAAUGCGCAGGCCACAUGGUACUUCAGCAUCUGCCAGAGCUGUUCUACCAAAUCAAUGUGAGUGACAUGAACAACUCCUCUCCAGAGUCCAGAACAUGGACUGUCAUGAGUGUUGCGUCCCUGAACAACUUCAGUUACUCAAACUAAUCUGUUGAUGGUCAACUGAGGUUCACAAAUCAUGAUUCCAGGUAACAGAACCAUCUUGACUCGGAACAACUAAUUCCAUACACUGCCUCAGUUGCUGGAACAGUAAGAGUGUAUCACUGAAACCUACAUGCGAAUGGAACUGUUUGUUAUGUCAUGACUAAUAAGGAACAUGAAAAAAUGAAGGACUUAAACUCUAAUAAUAUAGGCCUCAUUACCUCUAGAGAAGUUUUGACCCUGAAUUAUCCUGCAACUUGCCAGCAUUCGAGUAUCGCAACAGAACUCUGGAAAUUGGAUAAGGGCACCCAAAAAAUCUAAUAAUAUUAUGCAAACCCCUCUCUCCAUGCAACGCAUUCGGUGAACUUAGAUGGUUGAGAUAUGUGUUUCCUUCGUAGAUAUAACUAAGCUGCUGGCACAGUAGUACACCUAUACCAGCAUUGACUGAUAAACUAGCGAAUGCUAGAUAUACCAGAACUAGACCUCUUGCUGACAAGAAGAAGGCAGAGCCUGCAACCGUAGUAAUAAUCUCCAACCAUAUUUUCCAAAAGCUCAUUGAAUCACGAGAUGAUGCUAGGUUUGGAAAAUCAACAGAGGGCCAUAUCUGGUAGCUUGCAUAUAUGGUCAUCCCAGCAGCAUAAGAACAACUAAUGACCACAGAAAUAAGAAAAAUGACAAACACUUGAUGAUUUGAAGCUCCCACACAGUUGCCAAUCUGCACUUGAACAGAAGGGGUGAUGAAUAAACAAGUGAAGUCUAACAAUCAACAAAACAAUAAUGUAGCAGAAUGCAGUUAUCAUACUUACAAAUGGGCAGUGAUGAUCCAUGUCCACCACACACAUUUUACAAGAUCGGCAGUGAUGUGCUCUGGGGGGCUUUGGUUUAUUACAGUAUGUACAAAAAGUAUAGUUCUCAAGAUCCCUUUUCCCAACCAAGGGAUAGCUGCCCCAACGUACAUUUGUUGGCGCGCCUGCAGAUUUAGAAGAGGCCAAGCAGUAGCUUGUGAUGGUAAAUACAGCUAACACAGCUGUUACCAUGCAGUGAAAGAUGCCACAGAAGUUGCUGAUUUUGAAAACAAUAGGAUAUACCGCCCAGACCCCACCACCUGUGUCAAAACAAAACAGCAGCCUAAUUAAUCAGCUGGCGAAGAGAUAAAAUCGUUAGAUAUCAAUAGAAGAGCUGCAUGGAAUAGACAAAUAAAUGCAAGAGGUUACAAAUUGUGCCGAUGGCAAGAGGACAGGAACAUACAUAUCACAAAGAGCAUGAAGAGGAUGAGCACGGUGACAAAGAAUCUGUCCCGCACGCGCCUCCAGUGGGAAAACCAUACACUAUCAGGUUUCCUUGUGGUCUGGUUACUUUGCGUGAUGGCUCCACACCAGCCACACUUAUAGAUAGGCGAGUAACCCGCAAAAACAAGCCGGAGCCCACAGCCCCAACAUGUGGCUUCAUGAUCUUCCGGUAUGGACGUGACGGAUUGCUCUACCUGAACAAAAAGAGGCUGGCAAUCAACACAUUGCUGCAGAUGAUACUACAGUUGUGCACCAAUAAGGAAUAGCAUACUUGCAGAUAGGGGUGGUAAUGGAUCAUGAUCCAAAUAUUUGUUCAUAAAUUGAUAGGUCCCUAGAUUAUUUUUAGUUCAAAAUGAAUAGAAAUAGGGCCCGAUCUGAUCCUUAUAUUUUAUAGUGUAAAAUUUAGAGCCCUACUUGCAGAUGAGCAAAAUCAUCGGAGGACGCCGUUUACCAACCAUCCUUCGCACAGGACUCAAUGCCAAAGUAAUAACUUCCAAUCCAUAUCUACAACCACUUCACUCGAAUACUGAAUCUAACAUAAUAUCUGCAUUUUUUUCACGAUUCUGAUACCGUUGCAGUUCGCUAGUGUUUGGUCGACGAUCUCUUACCAUACAUAUACGUAUCCAUUAAGUAUAAACCCUAAACUCGACUGGACUCGGCUGGAGUAAGGUACCCAUAAAAGGGCCUUGUGGCCAAUCUCUGGUGCAAAAUCCAUGGUAAUCAAAUACGGUAAAGAUGUCACAGACUGCUUUUGCUAUGGGCAAGCAUCCAUCCAGGCCAACCAACCCGCGCUAUCUGAUGACUUCCAUACUCCAACGCUAGGGACACAUGAAGCAAGAAAAGAAGGGUAACCACCGCUACCCGAGACUGUCAAAUCUCCCCUUGGGUAGUGGCCUAGCUGCAUCAAAAGCGCCGCGAAGUACGGGGCUCCUGUCCGUUGCCCAUCGGCGCUUGUCUCCUUCUUCUCCGUAUUCGAAAUGGUCCGUGCAGGGGCGCACAGAUGGGAGGCCGGAGGCGCAAGAUGCACGCUUGGAUGAAAAGAAAGGCACGAACCUCUAGCAGCGGGCGCUGCUCCCGCUCCGGCUCCGCCAUCGCGCCCGUCGGCCGGAGCGGAGAUCCACGGGGCGAGGCCGCGAGGGAGACGGAGAGCAGGACUGCAGGAGGCCUUCGGUCCGGAUCGGCGCGCGUUGGUGGGAGACUUCGCAGCCUGGAGCCGUCGCGGAGGAAUGUUUUUAGUUUUCGCUGUGGAUAUUUCAACGACGAGCAAAGAAGGCGCUGCAAAGACAAAAGAGAAAAGGGUGGAUGGGGCGGGGCGGGGCGGGGCCGGGGCCGGCACGGGGACGAGGGCACGAGGCGAUCCGCGAGCCGGCGGACGCGUCGCCGCGCUGGUUGCUGGUUAAGCCAAGGCUCCAAGCCUUCGAUGGCAGUUGAUUGCGACGUGGGCUUAUUACCACGUUUAGAUGAGUGGGGACUGGGGAGUACCCGAUCCCAACAUUCCAAUUAUAAGAUAAAUUUAAUAUUUUAAAAUAGAUGAAUAUAGAAUUUAGUGCUAAAUUUUAGUUAUGUUGUUAAGUAUAUUAUAUAAAACAAAAAUAUAGUUAUGUACAACUUUUGUGUACAUUAUUUACUCACUAUAACAAAAGAGACGAAAAAAAAUUGAAUUCGAAUAAUUAAUUUGAGAAUAUAUAGAAUAAAUUUUAGGACUAAUUUGCGUGGAUCUUAACAAGCUCAAUGUUGAAAACAAAAAUAUAUAUUUAAAUAGCAGAUUUUAUAUCCUAUUUAUUUAUAAUUGGAGAGAGAAGAUAGAAAAAUUAAUUUUCAAAUAAAUAUCCAAAAACAUUUUAGCUCAAUUAAUCACUUUGGAGAUGAGAGUAUGUAGGUUCUCAUACGACGUUGUUUGGUGUGUUUACGAGAAAAAACGGUCAGUUUCUGCAGAUAAGUGUUCGUUUGAGAGGGCUUUGGGAGGCUUAGACAAUUUGACGGAGCCCUCCCAAACAUGAUGCAAAAAAAGACUUCUCAACGGGAGCUCAAUAAUAGCGGAAGGUAUUUUAGGUUUGUCAAUGGGAGCUCAAUAGAAACGGAAGGUACUUUAGAGUGAGAUUCGGAGCCCAAAAAUAGCUCCCAGCGGCUCUGCGACUAUGCAAGGCGCAAGCAUAGAGACGGCGCAUGGGCGACUACAAGCGCAGGCAGCGAGCACGCGUAGACAGCACCCGAGUCGCUCUAGAUUAAAGUCGGCUGUUUAGAGUGCUGCAACGGCAAUCCACUUAUAGAGAUAAAAAAUAUUAUAUAAAAUUAGUAGAAGUCAGUACAGAUUAAAGCCAAACGAAUGACCUCACAGUCGACAUCCAAAGACGGCGCAGAGACAGCUGACACGCAACACGCGGUGUUCGUGACGCGGCCUACAACACGAGGUGUUCGUGCAAAUGUCUAACAAAGACACUAUGGACAUGCCAAAUUAAAAAUAUUCCUAUGGAUGAGCAGCUACUUCAGAGUCAACCGACGAAAGGGCCUCUAGCCUAGUGGUUAAGGACUUCCGAGUAUCACCUCCAAAUCCUGGGUUUGAUUCCCCCGGAACGAAUUUUCAGGCUUUAUUAAAAAAAACCCUCGUUGUGCCCUAUCAACUCUCGGGUCUACUCUGUUGAUACCGGGAGGACGGUCUUUCCCUCCCCGGCCGAGUUUUUUACUUCAUAGUCAACCGGAGCCAUUUUCAGAGGCCAAACAGGCUGAAACAGUUCGAUUUCACGACGAAGUACUGUGAGCCUCUUGCGGGGGUUCCUAGAGGCGCGUGUCUUUUCAUUGGUAACAUCCAUCCCCUCGAUCGAUCUCUCUCCAGAGUACUAGACCUCGCUACCAGCGGCGACUAGCUCUGCAGUCUGUAUGUAAAGCUUUACAAUGUGGUUGAGCGAUAUUCAUUCUUCACAUCCAGGCUCACAAAAUCAAUCUGAAAACACAUGCACUGAUGCACACUUGUGUUUGUGUAGAGGCGCGAUUGGCCAGCUUAUAUAUAUAUCAUCCGAAAGACAAGUCACUCACACGCACAUUCGCAUUGGCUAACAGAAGCUAUUUGGAAUGCAGUUCACUCGACUAACAACGUAGGUAACCCCCGUCUCCUUGUUUUGCCGAUGUUCACUUGCAUCGCCAUCAUAUGUCAGCAGCAAGGAAGUUGCCAGACAAGGAAACCUGCCAAUCGGAGAAGCAGCAGCAGUGAACGUUCAGAAUCCA
rnacentral:lncRNA from 1 species